rnacentral:lncRNA from 1 species
GAAGUACAAGAGUGUUGUACACCGUGUGAUGACGAUGAAGCAAGGAAGUAGACUGUCGAUAGCUACAUUUUACAAUCCAGCUGGGGAUGCCAUAAUAUCUCCAGCUCAAGAGAUGUUGUACCCAAGUGGUUACCGAUUCCAAGACUACCUUAAGCUUUAUUCAACCACUAAGUUUGGAGACAAAGGCUCUAGAUUUAAUACCAUGAAGAAAAUGGAGAAUGGGGAUUCCGUCUAGGAUGCAUCGCCUGAACGUAACGCUGCUUUUGUAUUUCACAUGAAACUCUAUUUCUAUUAAAACUUUGUCUUCUUGUUGUGUUUCUUUCAUAAAGGAAUAACAAUUAUGCCAGGAUCAUGCUGAUUCAACUAUUUUGCUUUGUUAAGAAAAAAUAACUCUUUUUACUCAAGUGAUUUUGUACUAGGCAAGUCGUUGAUGGCAACUUUAAAAACAUUAGUUUGAACUUUGAAGGUCUUUUAUAUUGUACUUUUAUUUUUAAGGAUGUCCUUAAGAUAUUAGUAUGUUUUGGCUAAAAAGUUAUAUAUCGUUUAAUUCUGUUUAUCUUUUAAAACAACAAAAACACAAAAGAUAUUUCAUGUUAAGCGAUAAUUCAAUAUGAUUAAGAGAAUGAUAACCUAGUUAGUAAUUAGUAAUUACCAACAUCCGUAUGGUCAUAAAAGAGAACCCAAGAUAAUGAAAAAAAAAUGUCAAACCAUAAAACUUGGACAAUGGUGAAACAAAAACAGUUUUUAUUUAAGUUUUCGUAGGAUCAAACUCCCACGGCUGCUUCUUGUAAUAGCAGACCACAAACUAAACCAAGUGGUCUUAUUUGUAGCAACUUCUUUUUCUUCACCUUUUAACUUGGCAUGUAACUGAGCAAAUUCCAGCAAAUUUUUUUUUUUUUUUUUUGCUUGUACUAAAUAGCUUAAUUUUGGUGAAGAAACCAGCAAAUUUUCAUUUUAUUUUAAUAAAUAAAUGAUAUCUCAUUCAACUUUAAUGUUACUGAAUGAUACAUGGAGAUAAUAAAUAAUACUCCAAGUAAAGAUUUUUUUAGAUUUUUUUCUUGUUCCACAAAGAUAGAUUUUCUAUAUUGUUAAGGUAUUUUUUUAUACUUUUGAAAAACAUUAAUUGAGAAUAUUUGAAUUAAUUAAAUUUCAUUGGUGGAAAGUUAUUGAAAAGUGUAUAAUAAAGUAAAAGAUAAAUUAAAUUAUAAAUAUUUAUUAAAUUAUUAAUAAGCGUCCAUACUCUAAAAAAUCUUACUUUUGCGAACAGAGAGAGUAUUCUUUUGAUGGUACUACGGAUGCUACAACUUUAAGAUGGUGCUGUUGAUCAUCUGGACUAAAUAGGUUGACAAAGAGGAAUCCCAAGCCCUUAAUCUUGAACUGUACAUAGAGUGGUAGAUUACUAACUUAGGCUUCGAAUGUUACGAACUGCCUCGCUCCGCAGUUAACAGUAACAAAAAUCUCUACAUAUACUAUAUAUCUAUACGUUUUUAUAACUGUUAAAACCGCACCGCAAUUAAUGUAUGUAGCGGCUAGAGGCUUGUUCAAAAUGAAUCCUCCAAUGAUUAUAGUGCCUAAAUCCAUUGAGGAAGGCAUCGAGACUUUGCUCGAGGUUCCUAGAGCUAAGGCACAAUCCUGUUAGCUUGGACAUAGGAGGACAACCUCUAGCAUCCAACUACCCAUUGCCGCCCAAGGUUUGUGGUUUUUUUUUGUGUGUGUUGUUUGGUGGCAUAGUGAUACAGUAGCUUCAUCAGGUGUCAGUAGAACCAUGAGGAGAAUUCUUUCAGUGGAGUUGGCUUUUGAACCAAAGAUUGUAUAUGUGAGAAAAACAUCUAAAGUUAAAAUGUGUCAAAGGUUACGACAUCCUCAUUCAAAUAGCUAAUGAUAACAUGGGUUUGUCAGUGUUGGUUCUUCUCGGUAGAUAUAUGCUUAAGUUCCGUUUCUUAGGUCAGCAAAAUGGUGCAACGACAUCUGACAUGAGGGAAUAAGUAGGUGGGGGAUCUCACGAUAUCUAAAAAUCAUUAUUUUGCAUUUUUUUCUGAGAGCAUUCUGAUUAGCUACACCGUGUGUUAUCCUUAGGCUAUGCUCUAUUAUUGUCUUGGUGCGUCACAUUCUCAACUUGUAAACUAGAGUGUUCAUAUUUUUGUUCUAGGGUGGAUUGUCAAUGUAUGUAGCGGCUAAAAUUUUCUAAUCUUUUAUAUAGUUUCCUUGUAAAAGGUAUCUUAUUGCUUGGUCAAAGACUGCUGGCAUUAUGAUACCAGUUAGAUUCAUCAGGUGUCAGCAGAAAUAUGAGGAGCAUCCUUUCAUUAGAGUUGGCUUUUGAACCAAAUAUUGUUUAUAUGAGAAAAAUCAUAUAUUACCAAGGGGGUAUAGGAGUCCAGCAUCCAAAAGCUAGAUUGUGUUAGGUUAUAGUGUCCUCAUUCAAAAUUGUGUUGGUUCUUAUCGGUAAUCAUAUGCUUAAGUUUCGGUUUUCAGGUCAGCGAAUAAUGCAACAUCAUCUGACAUUAAGGAGUAAGAAGGUGGGCUCGUAAGAUAUCUAAAAAAGGUUUCUCUUAACAACCUCAGUAUUCUCUGAAGAUUGUGGGCUUAAUCCACUUCAAGAUUCUGCAAACGAGACUGCUUCUUCCAUGAGGCAAGUGUCUAUUGUUUUCUCUGAUAUGUCGUCACUCUUUUGUCAUCAUUGAGGUUUAGGCCCUUGACAGAGGCAAAGAGGCAAGAGAAGGAGGACGUUAAUUAAACAAUUAGAUAAAAGAAAUGUUAUUCCUCAAAUCUGUUUUCAAGUAGGUGAGUAGAUCGAAACCCAGAACAACCUCUUUUUUUUUGCUUAAAACCCCAAGAACUACUUAUAGACCUAACUUUAACAACAACAAUACAAAAGAAAUGUACUAAGCACACAAUACAAAACGAAGCAUGAUGGUCUAACUAACUCCAGCGAAUAUAAGCGAGUGGUAAGGAAAAACACUUUCCUUGUAAAGAAGAAAGAAAAUUCACAUUAAUUAGGUUAGAAGAAAUCAUAAAAGAAAAUUCAAAACUUUUGAUCUCAUGGUUGUGUGGACUAAACUUGGACUUUUCUUUAAUCAUAUAGUUCAUUUUUCAUUUUCAAGGAAGAUCGAUACUUUUACUUAUGUUCUUUUUAUUUAAUUGUAAUGACACUCCCAGAGUUAAAACCAGUAUUGAAAGAAGCAAAUGGUUUUGCCUCUCCAAGUAGGCAACUAUGCCUCCCAAAGAAAAAGAGACAUCAUGCUCACUCCAUGCCUAUAAAUACUCCUCAAAUCAAUAACUUAUCCAUUCAAAUUGUGUCUGAGAACAAAAAGGCAAAAAAAAAAAAGAGAAGAAGAUGGGUUUAAUCAAAGAGAAAGAGAUGGAGAUUCCAGUCAUUGAUUUUAGUGAACUGGAUGGAGAAAACAGAACCAAGACUAUGUCUCUUCUUGAUCAUGCAUGUGAUAAGUGGGGCUUCUUCAUGGUAUGUACAAAUCUUUAUCCACAAAUCAAGUUCUUAAGUAUGCAUAUGUAAACGUUCCUAGAUCCAGUUCUAGUGUAGACCCUUAUUAAAUGCGGGCUGAUGAAUUUUCAGGUUGAUAAUCAUGGAAUUGAUAAAGAAUUGAUGGAUAAAGUAAAACAGCUGAUUAACUCUCAUUAUGAGGAGCAUUUGAAAGAGAAGUUUUACCAGUCAGAGAUGGUCAAGGCUUUGAGUGAAGGCAAAACGUCAGAUGCUGAUUGGGAAAGCACUUUCUUCGUUUGGCAUAAGCCGACUUCAAACAUAUCCAAAGUCUCCAACAUUUCAGAUGAACUCAUGUAAGUAACUAAAAAAAUUAUAUAUCCAAAUUUUUACCAAUUUCUUUAUUUGGACAAAGUUUUUACCAUUUAUAUGUCUUGCCUAUUAUAAUUAACAAUGUGUGGGGAUGAAACUUAUAUUGCAGCAAGACAAUGGAUGAAUAUGUUUCUCAACUGCACAAGUUUGCAGAAAGGCUCUCUAAACUCAUGUGUGAAAAUCUUGGUCUCCCUCGAGAACACAUAGUGAAUGCGUUCUCCGGUAUAGAAGGUCCAGUUUUUGGGACAAAAGUGGCUAAAUACCCAGAAUGCCCUCAUCCGGAGCUCAUUAGAGGGCUGAGAGAACAUACUGAUGCUGGAGGGAUCAUAUUGCUCUUGCAGGAUGAUCAAGUGCCUGGUCUUGAGUUCUUGAAAGAUGGGAAGUGGGUUCCUAUCCCACCAUCGAAGAACAAUACCAUUUUUGUCAAUACCGGUGAUCAAGUCGAGAUAUUGAGUAAUGGGAAGUACAAGAGUGUUGUACACCGUGUGAUGACGAUGAAGCAAGGAAGUAGACUGUCGAUAGCUACAUUUUACAAUCCAGCUGGGGAUGCCAUAAUAUCUCCAGCUCAAGAGAUGUUGUACCCAAGUGGUUACCGAUUCCAAGACUACCUUAAGCUUUAUUCAACCACUAAGUUUGGAGACAAAGGCUCUAGAUUUAAUACCAUGAAGAAAAUGGAGAAUGGGGAUUCCGUCUAGGAUGCAUCGCCUGAACGUAACGCUGCUUUUGUAUUUCACAUGAAACUCUAUUUCUAUUAAAACUUUGUCUUCUUGUUGUGUUUCUUUCAUAAAGGAAUAACAAUUAUGCCAGGAUCAUGCUGAUUCAACUAUUUUGCUUUGUUAAGAAAAAAUAACUCUUUUUACUCAAGUGAUUUUGUACUAGGCAAGUCGUUGAUGGCAACUUUAAAAACAUUAGUUUGAACUUUGAAGGUCUUUUAUAUUGUACUUUUAUUUUUAAGGAUGUCCUUAAGAUAUUAGUAUGUUUUGGCUAAAAAGUUAUAUAUCGUUUAAUUCUGUUUAUCUUUUAAAACAACAAAAACACAAAAGAUAUUUCAUGUUAAGCGAUAAUUCAAUAUGAUUAAGAGAAUGAUAACCUAGUUAGUAAUUAGUAAUUACCAACAUCCGUAUGGUCAUAAAAGAGAACCCAAGAUAAUGAAAAAAAAAUGUCAAACCAUAAAACUUGGACAAUGGUGAAACAAAAACAGUCUUUUUAUUUAAGUUUUCGUAGGAUCAAACUCCCACGGCUGCUUCUUGUAAUAGCAGACCACAAACUAAACCAAGUGGUCUUAUUUGUAGCAACUUCUUUUUCUUCACCUUUUAACUUGGCAUGUAACUGAGCAAAUUCCAGCAAAUUUUUUUUUUUUUUUUGCUUGUACUAAAUAGCUUAAUUUUGGUGAAGAAACCAGCAAAUUUUCAUUUUAUUUUAAUAAAUAAAUGAUAUCUCAUUCAACUUUAAUGUUACUGAAUGAUACAUGGAGAUAAUAAAUAAUACUCCAAGUAAAGAUUUUUUUAGAUUUUUUUCUUGUUCCACAAAGAUAGAUUUUCUAUAUUGUUAAGGUAUUUUUUUAUACUUUUGAAAAACAUUAAUUGAGAAUAUUUGAAUUAAUUAAAUUUCAUUGGUGGAAAGUUAUUGAAAAGUGUAUAAUAAAGUAAAAGAUAAAUUAAAUUAUAAAUAUUUAUUAAAUUAUUAAUAAGCGUCCAUACUCUAAAAAAUCUUACUUUUGCGAACAGAGAGAGUAUUCUUUUGAUGGUACUACGGAUGCUACAACUUUAAGAUAGUGCUGUUGAUCAUCUGGACUAAAUAGGUUGACAAAGAGGAAUCCCAAGCCCUUAAUCUUGAACUGUACAUAGAGUGGUAGAUUACUAACUUAGGCUUCGAAUGUUACGAACUGCCUCGCCCCGCAGUUAACAGUAACAAAAAUCUCUACAUAUACUAUAUAUCUAUACGUUUUUAUAACUGUUAAAACCGCACCGCAAUUAAUGUAUGUAGCGGCUAGAGGCUUGUUCAAAAUGAAUCCUCCAAUGAUUAUAGUGCCUAAAUCCAUUGAGGAAGGCAUCGAGACUUUGCUCGAGGUUCCUAGAGCUAAGGCACAAUCCUGUUAGCUUGGACAUAGGAGGACAACCUCUAGCAUCCAACUACCCAUUGCCGCCCAAGGUUUGUGGUUUUUUUUUGUGUGUGUUGUUUGGUGGCAUAGUGAUACAGUAGCUUCAUCAGGUGUCAGUAGAACCAUGAGGAGAAUUCUUUCAGUGGAGUUGGCUUUUGAACCAAAGAUUGUAUAUGUGAGAAAAACAUCUAAAGUUAAAAUGUGUCAAAGGUUACGACAUCCUCAUUCAAAUAGCUAAUGAUAACAUUGGUUUGUCAGUGUUGGUUCUUCUCGGUAGAUAUAUGCUUAAGUUCCGUUUCUUAGGUCAGCAAAAUGGUGCAACGACAUCUGACAUGAGGGAAUAAGUAGGUGGGGGAUCUCACGAUAUCUAAAAAUCAUUAUUUUGCAUUUUUUUCUGAGAGCAUUCUGAUUAGCUACACCGUGUGUUAUCCUUAGGCUAUGCUCUAUUAUUGUCUUGGUGCGUCACAUUCUCAACUUGUAAACUAGAGUGUUCAUAUUUUUGUUCUAGGGUGGAUUGUCAAUGUAUGUAGCGGCUAAAAUUUUCUAAUCUUUUAUAUAGUUUCCUUGUAAAAGGUAUCUUAUUGCUUGGUCAAAGACUGCUGGCAUUAUGAUACCAGUUAGAUUCAUCAGGUGUCAGCAGAAAUAUGAGGAGCAUCCUUUCAUUAGAGUUGGCUUUUGAACCAAAUAUUGUUUAUAUGAGAAAAAUCAUAUAUUACCAAGGGGUAUAGGAGUCCAGCAUCCAAAAGCUAGAUUGUGUUAGGUUAUAGUGUCCUCAUUCAAAAUUGUGUUGGUUCUUAUCGGUAAUCAUAUGCUUAAGUUUCGGUUUUCAGGUCAGCGAAUAAUGCAACAUCAUCUGACAUUAAGGAGUAAGAAGGUGGGCUCGUAAGAUAUCUAAAAAAGGUUUCUCUUAACAACCUCAGUAUUCUCUGAAGAUUGUGGGCUUAAUCCACUUCAAGAUUCUGCAAACGAGACUGCUUCUUCCAUGAGGCAAGUGUCUAUUGUUUUCUCUGAUAUGUCGUCACUCUUUUGUCAUCAUUGAGGUUUAGGCCCUUGACAGAGGCAAAGAGGCAAGAGAAGGAGGACGUUAAGAUCUUCUUAAGUCGUUGGUCUUAUUUUCCAUCCACUAAUGGCUUUUUUAUGGGUUGUUGGUCGUUAAUUCCAAUCAAACAAGUCUUAAACCUCCUACAUUUUCUUUGUCUCUGUCCAGACAUUAGUAACCGUGGGUAAUGAAUCUGUUUUCAGUUAUAGUCCUUGUCUUAAGACUUUCUCAAACCAUAACCAUUCAAAUAACUGAAAACAAAUUCUCUCAAGCCGUGGAUACUAAAUCUUUGUAAGCCGUGGGUAAGGAAUCUGUUUUCAGUUAUAGUCCCUGUCUUAAGACUUUCUCAAACUGUACCAUUCAAAUAACUAAAAACAGAAAAGUCUUGUCUUUAAGACUUGUAAGCCGUGGGUAAUAAAUCUUUGUCUUUGUCAAGACAUGUGUAAGCCUUGAGUAAGGAAUCUAUUUUCAGUUAUAGUCUUUGUCAAAGACUGAGCGGCAUGCUCUUAUUUGCCAUCCCCUAACGCCCUUCUUUAUACAUGCACCACCAACCCAUAUUCUCGGUCCAUUUAACAAUCUUGCUAUAGGAAAUGGUAUAAGUUUCUUUCAGAGGAAGCAAGGGACAGUGUUUUCAGUUAUAGUCCUUGUCUUAGGACUUUCUCAAACUGUACCAUUCAAAUAACUGAAAAAAAAAGUCUUUGGCCUUUAAGACUUGUAAGCCGUGGAUCAUAAAUCUUUAUCUUUGUCAAGACAUGUGUAAGCCGUGGGUAAUAAAUCUUUGUAAGCCAUGGGUAAGGAAUCUGUUUUCAGUUAUAGUCUUUGUCUUAAGACUUUCACAAACUGUACCAUUCAAAUAAUUGAAAACAAAAAAGUCUUUUGUCUUUAAGACUUGUAAGCCGUGAGUAAUAAAUCUGUCUUUCUCAAGACAUGUGUAAGGCGUGGGUAAGGAAUCUGUUUUCAGUUAUAGUCUUUGUCAAAGACUGAGCGGCAUGCUCUUAUUUGCCAUCCCCUUACGCCCUUCUUUAUACAUGCACCACCAACCCAUAUUCUCGGUCCAUUUAAUAAUCUUGCUAUAGGGGAUGGCAUAAAGUUCUUUUAGAGGCAGCAAGGGACAAUGUUUUCAGUUAUAGUCCUUGUCUUAGGACUUUCUCAAACUGUACCAUUCAAAUAACUGAAAACAGAAAAGUCUUUGGUCUUUAAGACUUGUAAGCCGUGAGUAAUAAAUCUUUGUCUUUGUCAAGACAUGUGUACGCCGUGGGUAAAAAUCUUUGUAAGUCGUGGGUAAGGAAUCUGUUUUCAGUUAUAGUCUUUUGUCUUAAGACUGAGCCGCAUGCUCUUAUUUGCCAUCCCCUAACGCCCUUCUCUAUACAUUCACCACCAACCCAUAUUCUCGAUCCAUUAGGGGAUGGCUUAAGUUUCUUUUAGAGGCAGCAAGGGACAAUGUUUUCAGUUAUAGUCCUUGUCUUAGGACUUUCUCAAACUGUACCGUUCAUAUAACUGAAAACAGAAAAAUCUUUGGUCUUUAAGACUUGUAAGCCGUGGGUAAUAAAUCUUUGUCUUUGUCUAAGACAUGUGUAAGCCGAGGGUAAUAAAUCUUUGUAAGCCGUGGGUAAGGAAUCUGUUUUCAGUUAUAGUCUUUUGUCUUAAGACUGAGCCGCAUGCUCUUAUUUGCCAUCCCCUAACGCCCUUCUCUAUACAUGCACCACCAACCCAUAUUCUCGAUCCUUUAGGGGAUGGCAUAAGUUUCUUUUAGAAGCAGCAAGGGACAUUGUAUUCAGUUAUAGUCCUUGUGAUAACCCGUCCUUCGGGAUAAAAUGGUCGAGCAAGGGAAAGUCAGAAUCUGGAGCCAAGCUUUUGGGAGAUUACAUAUUUGGAGUAAUGUUGAGUUUUGAUCACACAAAACUUAACAAGGUUCGGAGAAGACAGAAGAUUGGUCGAGCAUCAACUUGAUGAUCGAACCGCGGGCGGUACGGGCCAACCGAGAAGUUCGAAGUAGGAUGUGGUCGAAGAAUGGAUCGUGAGUGAACCAUGAGACAUAUUAAGCUGCUCUACCUUUCUUAGAAGAGUCUUAGAUUGAUCAGACGAAGAUUUUGGAAGAAUCACAUUUUUGGAAGCACGACGGUUUAGAAGCUCGACGUUUCAGAAACCCGACGUUUCUUAGCCACUAAGUUUUCCGCGAAACUUCACAUCUAUGAUCAGAAUAUUAUUUCAGAGAUAUUAUAAUUUGGAAGCAUGACGGGAGUAAGCAGGACGGGAAGCAAGCACGACGGGAAAACCCGAAGUUGGUCGAAAACCCUAAUUUCGGUUUUUCGAAAUUAUUGGAAGAAGCCGGAGGCUCGGGAAAUAUUUUUAGAGGAUCUCAGUAUUCAUCUGGAGUUUAUUAAAAAUAUUUAGAGAAUCAGAACGGGAGCGGAAAAAUAUUCGGGAUUGAUCGCGGGACGAAAAUUUACCAGAAAGACCGAAAUCGCACAAAUCAACCGGGAAGCUCGAGGUGGCCCUAUCUGAGAGAUCAGGACGUGCUGUCCUUCAUCCAAGCAUCUUAGUGUCUCCGUAGCACGAUAUGUCUCCGCAGGAUGAAGCCUCACAUGCAGCAUGACACCCAAAGCACGACAUGACCUCGUCUUGACACCCAGAGGCCCGUGUGUCGCGAUGCAUGAGCUCCAGCCAUGCUGAAUGACAUCUGGACGUGGUGCUGGCUUCUGGCAUGCAGAGGAGUCAUGCAUGGUGACAUUUGGACGCCCGUGUGUCGCCGCGCAUGCGACCGGAAGCAUGCGGGACGACACACAGGCGAUGGAGUGGCACCAUUUCAAUGGUUGGCCAUAUCUAUAUAAACCCAGCUCCCCCAGCUCGUUUCAUUCAUUCCACACACUCAAACAUCACUCUAAAACUUGGGCUAGAGAGAGAAAGUGAAGUAGAAAAAGGAAGUGAAGGAUUUGGAGCUGUUUUGAAGAAGUUAGAGCAUUUUUAAGAGCCAUUGUUCUACCGAAAGUCCGAGAAGAAGAUCCAGAAGUCCGAGGAGGUUCUGUCCAAGUCCUGAUUCGUCCAUACCAGUCCAUUGAAGACAGAGGCAUUGGUUUUUGGCUAGGCUUUCUCCGAUCAACCAGCUGCAAGAACACUGUGAGUUGGUUUGUUUGAGUUCCACUUGGAACUUAGGAUAGAUCGAGUUGCAUAUAGAGUAAUAAUAUCACACUGAUGCAUGAUAGAGUCCUAGGGUUAUUUUUAUUUAUGAAUUGGACUCAGUUUAGCAUGGGCUAAGCUGAGAUAUAAUGGAAUUAAGACUGAGUUAUAACCUGACUAGGACUAGGAUGAAUGAUGCAUCAACCGGUAUAGUGUGAUAAAUUAUGGCGUAGCUGAAUUGUUAGGAUUGAGAUGCAUGUUUUCCUUUAUUUAUUUAUGGGUAGUUUAGUAAUGGAGUAGACCUGCCUUAGAGAUAUUAGGACUAUUGAAUGCUUGGUUUGGUAGUGAUUGUUGUUGUGCAGGGAUGGUAUUGUUCAGGCGAUCUUAGGCCAUAUAGGCCGAUUUCCUUCCAUGUCGAGUUUAGUACUACCAAUCCUAUGCCAUAUAGGCUGGACUACGAGUACUGGUGUUAGUGUCGUAGACUCCUUAGUGUAUUUAAGUUUGUGGUAGGAGUCUUGGUCUUAUUAGGAUUAGUGUGUUGUAGCCGACAGUAUGAGCGUAACCCGUCCAUACUAGGCUUGUUUAGGGGUGAUUAGUGUUUCCUCAGCCUCGUACCCAGCGGGUUUAAGGAAACCCCUUAUUCGUUGGAUCGGGAAGACUCAGAGAGACGGGAUCAUGGCCUAUGGCUGAGUUAUUACACGACGGUGUAAUGUGGCAGUGACCCGAAGGACUGUGGGCUGUCGCGCGGUGACCCGAAGGACUGUGGGCCGCGGUCGGUUGAAAGUUCCUUCUUCUGGCCUUUGUGGUAGGGAGAUAGGAUAUUGCCGAUGUUGAGGAGGAACACGAGAUCACCAGGGCCCAUGUUAGAGUAUUGAGUUUAGAGUUAGAAUAGUGUGUCGAGUUAGUUUUAUUGUGUCGUCUUGAGGGUGAGGAACCCUCGAGAUAGUGUUAGCACCGAGAUACGGUGUUGAUCGAGUCUUGAUUGUUAGAUUAGGGAUCCGUUGAGUAGAUGGUCGUUUGGCCAUGUCUAUUAUUAGUAUUAUUAGAUUAAGGUCGAGCAUACCUUAAUCGGUGCGGUUUUGGGGAUUAGCCUUAAAGCUUUAUUUUCUGCGCUUAGGCUAGAUUGAUUGUUAUUUUUGGGUUGUCUGAGCUAGCUACUAGGUUUAGGUAUUUAGGUAUCCAGCUCACUGAGUGACCUUCUGUUACUCACCCAACUCUCGUUGUCCUUUUUGCAGGAGUUUAGUUUGUAGGAGAUUAGACGCGUAGGCCACCGGAAUAGAUUUGCAGUGCAUUUGGCUACGGUUUGAUUUUUAUACGAUUUAUGUUUCCGUUGCGUUUUAUCGGAUUUGGGAUCCCUAAAGUAUUGCAAAUAUUCUUAAAAGUCUUGGAUUUAAAUCUUAAAAAAAUUAACGGGUCCAAUAUGAUAUUGGUUUAGUCCGAACCAACACAACGUUAGGUCUUGGUACGGGUUGAAAAGCCUUAAGCCUCGAUCUAACGGAACCGUUAACUCAUGGUACAGGUUGCAAAGCCUUAAGCCUUGAUUUAACGGGACGUGUUAGUGGAUGAACUAGUCUAGGUUGCGGAAUAAAUCUGUGACUCGGACCGGAUCGUCCCUAGCUCGUCACGUAGCGCUUCCGGACCAUGGUGUUGGGUUGGACGGUCAGUCAUGUUCUUGUUUGAUUGUUGGCUGGCCGGUUGGCCUUUCAUCUCCAAUCCUUGGUGUUGGUUGGUCCGUCGGUCAUGUUCUUGUUUGAUUGUUGGCCGGUGGGUCGACCUAUGCCUAGGACGGUUCGGGGGUGUUACAGAGGUGGUAUCAGAGCAUGGUUACGAUUAUGCUCACUGGUUCCCGUGGUUUUUCAAAUGUUUUCAAUGUUUUUCGAGUCAAAAGGAGUCGCCAAUGCACUCUUUAGGAAUCCGGUCGUGUCCAAUCGUUUAGGAGGGGUAGGAGAGAUUUUAUUUUAUUAUUAGCUUGUUGUCUAACCCAUAUAUAUUGCGACAUGAUUCCGCAGGUUGCUGUACUGGUGUGGUAGGGUGGAGAUUUGGAGUUACGGAGGAUUUCGACGUUUCGCCUAGUCCUAUACUUGCCGAUCUUUUUCAGCCGCAUGAGUUUGAUCAGAUCGUACCAGACAUGUUUCCGACACCUAUCAUCAUUUCUGAUGAUGACACCGAGCCUGAUGAUGCGGUUCCGACACCCUUUAUUGUCAUUUCUGACGAUGAGACCAAUGCGGAUGAUCUUGUUCCGCAGAUGCCUACGGUAGCACCACCGAGCCCCAUCACUAUCUUGUCUACGGGUACUACUGGAGAUACGCCGAGUUAUGAUCCUGCUGAGGAUCAGGGCACUUCGCCACCUACUCCAGAUGUGUCGACACCAUCAUAUGGUCCCUUACCUUUGUCUCCGGGAUUACCCGAUCCUACUCUCAGCCCGACGAUUGACAUACAUUAUGAGAUGGGUCUGGAGGGAUUUUACGAUCUGCCGAUGGAGAGUAUUGGUGACAGCCAUGAUGAUCCAUUACUUUACUAUCCAGACAUCAUGAUUCCUGAUGAGCCAGCAAACUAUCAGUCCAUGGAGAGCGUUGGACACCCUGAUGACGACCCAUUCCUUUAUGAUCCAGACGUGAUGAUGAUGGACCAGCCACUUCCUCAGCCGGCGGACUUAUCUUUUUCUCAUACUAUACCUGCGAGUGGAGAGCCUUCCAGCUUUCCACCCAUGGAGCCAUCCACGACCUACUCACCAUUAUCUCAGCCAUUCUAUGACUACGGAGAGCCUUCCAGCUUUCCGACGAUGGAGGUACCCAAGACUGAAUUACCAUUUUACCAGACCACUUAUCAGACCGGAGGGCCAUCUAGCCUUCCAGCGAUGGAUGCAUCUUUUGAUCUUGGAGGAUCUGCUUCUUCUGGUGAUCCUUACGCACCUCAGUCCUAUCGAUGUUUUUGGUGUCAGAGCAGGAUAUGUGGAUCCACACGGAUUCCCAUAUCAUACUUAUCUUGGUAGAUCGGAUCUGUACCCGAGGUGUUUUACUUGUGGAGGCAUAGCACAUUCGACUGGCGUGUGCACGAGCUACGACGAGCCAGCAGCGAUACCCUACCUACACAGUGCGCAACCAGCAGGGGAUUCGUCCGAGUGGGGCUACUGCCCCAACUGCGACAUGUUGCUUUAUAUAUGGCGUUCUUAGACGUGUAGGACCGGGUAAGUAGGGUACAGACUUUUUGUGGUGAUAUAGCGGUGUAUAGACUUUUGUAGUGUUUUGUGACAGCUGAUGUCUUUUGUUGUAUGAUAUAUCAUCAGUAACGAUAAAGGAUGUUUUUCUGUCAAGUAUAUGUAUAUAUUUGAUGGGAGGAUAUGUUUUAUAGUGAAGGUGGUUAUCAUUUGCGUUUUUCUAUUUAGUAAUUACGUAACCAUAUCAUUCAAGUAUGCAUGUUCUUGCAUAUUUGAAUUAUGUGGUUUACAAGAUGAAAAAUAGUGAUCGCUUGGACAUAUGGUUUUACAAAACAUUUACAACUGUUUAAAUAUCACACAAAUCGUUGGUACAGUAGAGUCUUAGUUUUUAGGCCGCAUUUUUUUAGGGCUGGUUAGUGGAACAUAGAAUUGCUAGGUUGUUGGUUAGAAUUGCGGUUAGAUUACCCGGUUAGAAUCGUUAGGUUGCUGGAUAGAUUUGGUAGGUUGCUGGUUAGUUUUGGAUUAGAUUGUUAGGUUAGUUGUUAACUAACUUGCAUGUGAAGUGUUCUUUUGAGUUGCAGCUUGUGUGUUCGUUGAUCGGAACUUUAAGGAAUGGAAACCUUAAAGUGAAAAGAGUUCAAGGCUAAAAACCCAAAAUGAAGAGAGAGAGAUUUAGAGGGACUGGACAGUGGUAUGGACUGGACAAGUAUGAGAAAGACUUCGUUGAGAAAGGACUUCAUCAGUUUUGGGAAAAGAAAGGUUUCAGUGAUCAGAAGCAAAGAUGGUGCGCGUUAUGGCAGAGUAAAUGCAAGAAGACGAUUCAGUAUUCAUCAAGUGAAGAGUUUUGUGGCAACUUUGAGAAGGAGACUCAUGGGAGAGCAGUAGAUACGGUGAAGCAAUAUGAAGAUGAAUUCAGCAUGAGAGUGAAGCGAUAUGGAGAUGAGUUAAGAAUGAGUGAAGCAUGGGAAAUCAAGAAGUGAAGGACGGAUUCAAGACUAAAGGAAUGCUUUGAGAUGUAUCAAGACGGAGUGAGUUCAGAACCAGAAGUUUGGGUGGAGACCAGAGAAACCGAAAGGAGGAAACCAAGGGCAAACCGAUAAAGAAGCACAUCAAGUGAUCAAGACCGCGAGACAAGUGAUCCAAGGAGAAAUUUUCAUCAAGGGGAUGAACAUGUCGUGAAGCUGAGCCAUUGGACAACUAAGAAUGCGAGGACGAAUUCUAUUAAGGGGGGAAGAAUGUGAUAAUCCGCCCUUCGGGAUAAAAUGGUUGAGCAAGGGAAAGUCAGAAUCUGGAGCCAAGCUUUUGGGAGAUUACAUAUUUGGAGUAAUGUUGAGUUUUGAUCACACAAAACUUAACAAGGUUCGGAGAAGACAGAAGAUUGGUCGAGCAUCAACUUGAUGAUCGAACCGCGGGCGGUACGAACCGAGAAGUUCGAAGUAGGAUGUGGUCGAAGAAUGGAUCGUGAGUGAACCAUGAGACAUAUUACGCUGCUCUACCUUUCUUAGAAGAGUCUUAGAUUGAUCAGACGAAGAUUUUGGAAGAAUCACAUUUUUGGAAGCACGACGGUUUAGAAGCUCGACGUUUCUUAGCCACUAAGUUUUCUGUGAAACUUCACAUCUAUCAUCAGAAUAUUAUUUCAGAGAUAUUAUAAUUUGGAAGCAUGACGGGAGUAAGCAGGACGGGAAGCAAGCACGACGGAAAAACCCGAAGUUGGUCGAAAACCCUAAUUUCGGUUUUUCGAAAUUAUUGGAAGAAGCCGGAGGCUCGGGAAAUAUUUUUAGAGGAUCUCAGUAUUUAUCUGGAGUUUAUUAAAAAUAUUUAGAGAAUCAGAACGGGAGCGGAAAAAUAUUCAGGAUUGAUCGCGGGACGAAAAUUCACCAGAAAGACCGAAAUCGCACAAAUCAACCGGGAAGCUCGAGGUGGCCCUAUCUGAGAGAUCAGGACGUGCUGUCCUUCAUCCAAGCAUCUUAGUGUCUCCGUAGCACGACAUGUCUCCGCAGGAUGAAGCCUCACAUGCAGCAUGACACCCAAAGCACGACAUGGCAUCGUCUUGACACCCAGAGGCCCGUGUGUCGCGAUGCAUGAGCUCCAGCCAUGCUGAAUGACAUCUGGACGUGGUGCUGGCUUCUGGCAUGCAGAGGAGUCAUGCAUGGUGACAUUUGGACGCCCGUGUGUCGCCGCGCAUGCGACUGGAAGCAUGCGGGACGACACAAAGGCGAUGGAGUGGCACCAUUUCAAUGGUUGGCCAUAUCUAUAUAAACCCAGCUCCCCCAGCUCGUUUCAUUCAUUCCACACACUCAAACAUCACUCUAAAACUUGGGCUAGAGAGAGAAAGUGAAGUAGAAAAAGGAAGUGAAGGAUUUGGAGUUGUUUUGAAGAAGUUAGAGCAUUUUUAAGAGCCAUUGUUCUACCGAAAGUCCAAGAAGAAGAUCCAGAAGUCCGAGGAGGUUCUGUCCAAGUCCUGAUUCGUCCAUACCAGUCCAUUGAAGACAGAGGCCUUGGGUUUUGGCUAGGCUCUCUCCGAUCAACCAGCUGCAAGAACACUGUGAGUUGGUUUGUUUGAGUUCCACUUGGAACUUAGGAUAGAUCGAGUUGCAUAUAGAGUAGAAAUAUCACACUGAUGCAUGAUAGAGUCCUAGGGUUAUUUUUAUUUAUGAAUUGGACUCAGUUUAGCAUGGGCUAAGCUGAGAUAUAGGCCGUGUUCGUUUGCUGGUCGCUAGCGUCAGCGACCAAGUUCAGCGACCAAACGCUGUUCGUUUACCGGUCGUGAGUUCAGCGACUGAUCUCAGCGACCAAACGCUAGCGAUCAGCGAUUUAAAAUUUUGGACGCUGGAAAUUUCAGCGGUGCGACCAAAAUCGUGCGACUAGAAAUUUUUUUUUUUUUUUUUUUUUGAACACUCGAAAAAAUAAAAAAAAACUUAAAAAGACAAAACUACCCUAAAUAUAUUUACAGAAUCACAAUACAUUGCCAUUAACCCUAAUACAAACUCACGCCAAAAAAAAAAACCAGAAACUUCUCUCUCUCUCCCCGAUCUAUUUCCUGCGGCCAUACUUCUCUUCUCUGCUCAAGCUCUCUUUCUCUCCGAUCUAUUUCCGGCAGCCACAGAGAACCUUCUCUGCUCAAGGUCUCUCUCUCUCUCUCUCUCUCUCUCUCUCUCUCUCUCUGCGUUUUGUGUGAGGAUAAUGGAACCUUUAGAUUAAUUAAGUUGACUGUUGGGUUUUUUGAUUCUUGAUAUGGGUUGCUUUUAGAUUUAAGAUUUUGAUUAUCAAAUCUUUGUUUUUAAUCCGAUUAUCAGACAUGGGUUUGAGUUCCUGUGAAUGUUUUCAGACAUGGGUUUGAGUUCUUUUUGGUAUGUGACGAAGUGUUCUUGCAUUUGCUUUCAAGUAGUUUAUAGUUUGGUCUGAAUAAAGCUUCGAUGUUUGGAACAAGAGUCAAAUUUUGUGUGCUUUUGAUAGAUUGUUGUUUCAGUUUAGUAGUAGUGAUGAAAUAUGUGUCUGCAAGUCUCAUCAUUUAUGUCUGUAUUAUCUUCUCAGGUUGGACAUAAAUCACAACAAGACAAGAUAAGAAGAAUGGCUGAUGAUGUAAGUGUUUUAGGCAGUUCUAGUUUCUUAGAUCUUUUGUGAUAGUUUUUUCUGCUAGUUUAGCUUGUUUGUCUAUUGAUGAGACUUGUUAUUUAGAAAUGGACCGAUGAAGAAGUUAGGUAUUUCUUUGCUCUUUAUGCUGAUGAGAAAAAGAAAGGGAACAGACCAAGGAGUGGCAUGAAUCUAGCUGGAAGAGAGUUCAUCGUAAAUAAGUUUGAAGAGAAAUUUGGUAAGAGAUGGAUAUGGGACAGGUUUAAGAACAAGGUUGAUAUUAGUAGAAAAGCAUAUGUCAAGUUCAAGAAGCUUACCCACAAUAGAACCGGGCUUGUCUAUGAUGCUUUGGGAAGGUUGGAGAUGUCGGAUGCUUGGUGGGAUCAACGCAUUGCGGUAAGUAUCUUUCUCUUAGUCUUCAGUGCUUUAAUAAUGUCAGUAUUAGAGUUCUCUUUCUGCUUAGAGUGAAAAAUAUUAGACAUUGAAUCAGUAUUAGCUUGAAAAAAAUAUUAGACAUUGAAAAAUACUGUAUGUUUCAAAUAUACUAAUUUUUUUCUUCUUAAACAGGAAUGGCAAGGUGCAAGAAAGUAUAAGACCAAAGUGCCUCCAAACAUGGAUGUGUUUGAAGCAGAGUUUGGUGCUGUUACUGUAACUGGAGCAGAAGGAUGGUGUGCUCAGCAAGGAGAAGCUAGCUUAGAUUCUAGAGUAGAUGUAGAGAAGGAUGACGAGUCUGAUUCAGUUGACACUGGGAUGCCAGCACCAAGAGAAGGAACAAGUAGAGCUGGAGGUUCAAAAAGAAAGCGUAAGGAAUUUGAUCAAGAGCCUUAUGUUCUAAGGAAUGCAAUUCUGGCUGAGAAAAAUAAGAUAGCAGAAAAGAUGGUAGAGAUAAUGGCAGAGGAUCGUGUGGUGUUGCAGCAGGAUCGCAAAUUCCGUGUGCACUCUGUGUUGGAGAUACUUAAUGAGCUACCUGGAAUUAUAAAGUGGUCACCAUUUCACAUUGCUGCAGUUAACCAUCUCAAAGCUGUUGAAGAAAACAGAAUGGCUUUUAUGUCUUUCUCUAGUGAUGAUGAUAAGAUUAGCUAUCUUGAAAAUAUGAUUGGAGUUAAGAUAUAUGAAGGAUUGUAGUGUCUGUUUCAGUAUGACUGUUUUAAUAUGACUCAGAUUGUAGUGUUUCUUUUAAGUAUGACUUUUGUUUCAUUUUUUUGGUAUGAAUCAGAUUGUAGUAUUUUAAUGUGAUAGUACCAUUAUUCUCGUGUCUGCCUGCUCAAAUUGGAAGUUGGUUUUUUUUAAUGUGAUAGGAAGUUGGGUUUUUUUUUUCUGUCUCGCAACUUAUAUAUAUAUAUGUGAUUUUAAUGCUUUGCAGAUGGUUAGGUGGUACUUGGAUGAUGAUGAUGAGGAUGAUGAUUAUGAGGAAGAGCAUGAAGUUGAUGUGCUUAAGCCAGAGAGAUUGCUUCAUAGAACAGAUCGAGGUGCUGGAUGGAAUCAUGUUCAGCAGCUUAUGCACGGGUCAGAUCAACAGUGCUAUGAUAUUCUUCGCAUGAAUCAGAGGACAUUUCAAGAUCUGUGUAAGAUGUUAGCAACGAGAUAUGGGUUACAAGAGACGUUGAAUGUCUAUAUUGAAGAAGCGGUUGCAAUGUUCCUUGAAGUGGUGGGUCAAGAUAAGACAGUACGGGUUAUUGCACAAAGAUAUCAACGUUCGUUGGAUACAGUCAAAAGGAAACUUGGUGAGGUUUUGAGUUCUCUCUUGAAAUUUGCUGCAGAUACACUAAAACCAGAAGAUGGUGAGUUCACAAGAGUAUGUCCUGCUUUGAGAAAUGAUGAUCGAUACUGGCCAUUUUUUAAAGACUGUAUUGGAGCAUUGGAUGGAACUCAUAUCUCAGUCCGCCCUCCUAAACGAAAUGCAGAAGCAUACAGGGGCAGAAAACAGGAGCCAACCAUGAAUGUCCUUGCUAUAUGUAACUUUGAUAUGAAGUUCAUAUAUGCUUAUGUGGGUGUGCCGGGUAGAGCCCAUGACACAAAGGUAUUAACUUAUUGUGCGAGGAAUGAGCCUUUUUUUCCACAUCCGCCAAAUGGAAAGUAUUAUUUGGUUGAUGCUGGAUAUCCCACAAGAACAGGGUAUCUUGGUCCGUAUCGUAGAGUUCGGUAUCAUCUCGAUCAGUUCAACAGAGGAGGACCGCCAACGAACACUCGAGAGGUGUUCAACCGGAGACAUUCAAGCUUGCGAUCAGUGAUUGAGCGGACAUUUGGAGUGUGGAAAGCAAAAUGGAGAAUUCUUGACCGUAGGCAUCCAAAAUAUGGUUUGAUCAAAUGGAUAAAGCUAGUGACGGCAACGAUGGCUCUACACAACUUCAUACGUGAUUCACAUCGAGAAGAUAAUGAUUUUGUGCAUUGGCAGAGAAGAGAAGAAUAUCAUACUCAUGGUGAUAAUGAUGAAGAAGAAAGAGAUGAAGAGGAAGAUGAAGAAGAAGAAGAAGAAGAUGGUGAUGGUCAUGGUGGACAUAUUCCAUAUGAGCCGACUGGUGAUAGAGCCAUGGAAGGUUUACGUGAUCAUAUUGGUAAUGAGUUGAGUAGAGGAUAUCGAUUACCUUAUUAGUUUAUUUGAUUUGAAUUUGUACUGAUUAUUAUUAUAAGUUACUCGUAUGAUCACUCAUAAACAAAAGUGAACUUGUACAAGGAAAAAUAUAAGAAAUUGAAACGAUUAAACAUAUUGCAUCCAUGGUGUGAUUUAUUACACUUUACAGUUUUAAUGAUUUAGCCACGUUUUUGACGAAACCUAAGUACACAAGAGCAAAUGUAUGUCAAAAGUAAAUAUUUGGUCGCCAGCGAUACAGAAACGAACAGCAUAGCGACAACCGCUGCGAUCAAUCGCGCGACAUAGAAACGAACAGCAUAGCGACAACCGCUGCGAUCAAUCGCGCGACCUUCAAACGAACAACUAUCAGCGACAUCAUGUCGCAGUCGCUGGUCGCUGACUCUGGUCGCUGACGCUGGCGACCACGAAACGAACAGGGCCAUAAUGGAAUUAAGACUGAGUUAUAACCUGACUAGGACUAGGAUGAAUGAUGCAUUAACCGGUAUAGUGUGAUAAAUUAUGGCGUAGCUGAAUUGUUAGGAUUGAGAUGCAUGUUUUCCUUUAUUUAUUUAUGGGUAGUUUAGUAAUGGAGUAGACCUGCCUUAGAGAUAUUAGGACUAUUGAAUGCUUGGUUUGGUAGUGAUUGUUGUUGUGCAGGGAUGGUAUUGUUCAGGAGAUCUUAGGCCAUAUAGGCCGAUUUCCGUCCAUGUCGAGUUUAGUACUACGAAUCCUAUGCCAUAUAGGCUGGACUACGAGUACUGGUGUUAGUGUCGUAGACUCCUUAGUGUAUUUAAGUUUGUGGUAGGAGUCUUGGUCUUAUUAGGAUUAGUGUGUUGUUGCCGAUAGUAUGAGCAUAACCCGUCCAUACUAGGCUUGUUUAAGGGUGAUUAGUGUUUCCUCAGCCUCGUACCCAGCGGGUUUAAGGAAAUCCCUUCUUCGUUGGAUCGGGAAGACUCAGAGAGACAGGAUCAUGGUCUAUGGCUGAAUUAUUACACGACGGUGUAAUGUGGCAGUGACCCGAAGGACUGUGGGCUGUCGCGCGGUGACCCGAAGGACUGUGGGCCGCAGUCGGUUGAAAGUUCCUUCUUCUGGCCUUUGUGGUAGGGAGAUAGGAUAUUGCCGAUGUUGAGGAGGAACACGAGAUCACCAGGGCCCAUGUUAGAGUAUUGAGUCUAGAGUUAGAAUAGUGUGUCGAGUUAGUUUUAUUGUGUCGUCUUGAGGGUGAGGAACCCUCGAGAUAGUGUUAGCACCGAGAUACGGUGUUGAUCAAGUCUUGAUUGUUAGAUUAGGGAUCCGUUGAGUAGAUGGUCGUUUGGCCAUGUCUAUUAUUAGUAUUAUUAGAUUAAGGUCGAGCAUACCUUAAUCGGUGCGGUUUUGGGGAUUAGCCUUAAAGCUAUUUUCUGCGCUUAGGCUAGAUUGAUUGUUAUUUUUGGGUUGUCUGAGCUAGCUACUAGGUUUAGGUAUUUAGGUAGCCAGCUCACUGAGUGACCUUCUGUUACUCACCCAACUCUCGUUGUCCUUUUUGCAGGAGUUUAGGUUGUAGGAGAUUGGACGCGUAGGCCACCGAAAUAGAUUUGCAGUGCAUUUGGCUACGGUUUGAUUUUUAUACGAUUUAUGUUUCCGUUGCGUUUUAUCGGAUUUGGGAUCCCUAAAGUAUUGCAAAUAUUCUUAAAAGUCUUGGAUUUAAAUCUUAAAAAAAUUAACGGGUCCAAUAUGAUAUUGGUUUAGUCCGAACCAACACAACGUUAGGUCUUGGUACGGGUUGAAAAGCCUUAGGCCUCGAUCUAACGGAACCGUUAACUCAUGGUACAGGUUGCAAAGCCUUAAGCUUUGAUUUAGCGGGACGUGUUAGUGGAUGAACUAGUCUAGGUUGCGGAAUAAAUCUGUGACUCGGACCGGAUCGUCCCUAGCUCGUCACGUAGCGCUUCCGGACCAUGGUGUUGGGUUGGACGGUCAGUCAUGUUCUUGUUUGAUUGUUGGCUGGCCGGUUGGCCUUUCAUCUCCAAUCCUUGGUGUUGGUUGGUCUGUCGGUCAUGUUCUUGUUUGAUUGUUGGCCGGUGGGUCGACCUAUACCUAGGACGGUUCGGGGGUGUUACAGUCCUUGUCUUAGGACUUUCUCAAACUGUACCAUUCAAAUAACUGAAAACAGAAAAGUCUUUGGUCUUUAAGACUUGUAAGCCGUGGGUAAUAAAUCUUUGUCUUUGUUAAGACAUGUGUAAGCCGUGGGUAAAAAUCUUUGUAAGCCGUGGGUAAGGAAUCUGUUUUCAGUUAUAGUCUUUUGUCUUAAGACUGAGCCGCAUGCUCUUAUUUGCCAUCCCCUAAAGCCCUUCUUUAUACAUGCACCACCAACCCAUAUUCUCGGUCCAUUAGGAGAUGGCAUAAGUUUCUUUUAGAGGCAGCAAGGGACAAUGUUUUCAGUUAUAGUCCUUGUCUUAGGACUUUCUCAAACUGUACCGUUCAAAUAACUGAAAACAGAAAAGUCUUUGGUCUUUAAGACUUGUAAGCCGUGGGUAAUAAAUAUUUGUCUUUAUCUAAGACAUGUGUAAGCCGAGGGUAAUAAAUCUUUGUAAGCCGUGGGUAAGGAAUCUGUUUUUAGUUAUAGUCUUUUGUCUUAAACUGAGCCGCAUGCUCUUAUUUGCCAUCCCCUGACGCCCUUCUCUAUACAUGCACCACCAACCCAUAUUCUCGAUCCAUUAGGGGAUGGCAUAAGUUUCUUUUAGAGGCAGCAAGGGACAUUGUUUUCAGUUAUAGUCCUUGUCUUAGGACUUUCUCAAACUGUACUGUUCAAAUAACUGAAAACAGAAGAGUCUUUGGUCUUUAAGACUUGUAAGCCGUGGGUAAUAAAUUUUUGUCUUUGUCUAAGACAUGUGUAAGCCGAGGGUAAUAAAUCUUUGUAAGCCGUGGGUAAGGAAUCUGUUUCCAGUUAUAGUCUUUUGUCUUAAGACUGAGCCGCAUGCUCUUAUUUGCCAUCCCCUAACGCCCUUCUCUAUACAUUCACCACCAACCCAUAUUCUCGAUCCAUUAGGGGAUGGCUUAAGUUUCUUUUAGAGGCAGCAAGGGACAAUGUUUUCAGUUAUAGUCCUUGUCUUAGGACUUUCUCAAACUGUACCGUUCAUAUAACUGAAAACAGAAAAAUCUUUGGUCUUUAAGACUUGUAAGCCGUGGGUAAUAAAUCUUUGUCUUUGUCUAAGACAUGUGUAAGCCGAGGGUAAUAAAUCUUUGUAAGCCGUGGGUAAGAAAUCUGUUUUCAGUUAUAGUCUUUUGUCUUAAGACUGAGCCGCAUGCUCUUAUUUGCCAUCCCCUAACGUCCUUCUCUAUACAUGCACCGCCAACCCAUAUUCUCGAUCCAUUAGGGGAUGGCAUAAGUUUCUUUUAGAGGCAGCAAGGGACAUUGUUUUCAGUUAUAGUCCUUGUCUUAGGACUUUCUCAAACUGUACCGUUCAAAUAACUGAAAACAGAAAAGUCUUUGGUCUUUAAGACUUGUAAGCCGUGGGUAAUAAAUCAUUGUCUUUGUCAAAGACAUGUGUAAGCCGUGGGAAAAAAUUUUGUAAGCCGGAGGUUAGGAAUCUGUUUUCAGUUAUAGUCUUUUGUCUUAAGACUGAGCCGCAUGCUCUUAUUUGCCAUCCCCUAAUGCCCUUCUUUCUACAUGCACCACCAACCCAUAUUCUCGAUCCAUUAGGGGAUAGCAUAAGUUUCUUUUAGAGGCAGCAAGGGACAUUGUUUUCAGUUAUAGUACUUGUCUUAGGACUUUUUCAAACUGUACCAUUCAAAUAACUGAAAACAGAAAAGUCUUUGGUCUUUAAGACUUUUAAGCCGUGGGUAAUAAAUCUUUGUCUUUGUCAAGACAUGUGUAAGCCGUGGGUAAUGUAAGCCGUGGGUAAGGAAUCUGUUUUCAGUUAUAGUCUUUUGUCUUAAGACUGAGCCGCAUGCUCUUAUUUGCCAUCCCCUAAAGCCCUUCUUUAUACAUGCACCACCAACCCAUAUUCUCGGUCCAUUUAACAAUCUUGCUAUAGGAGAUGGCAUAAGUUUCUUUUAGAGGCAGCAAGGGACAAUGUUCCCAAAUAAGAAUCUGACAGAACACUAUAAGAUUAGUGUCUGUCUAUGAUCUUUUUUGGGAUUUGAAAAACAAAAACAAAACCAAAACAAAACCAAAACAAUGUUCCCAAACAAGAAUCUGACAGAACACUAUUAGAUUAGUGUUUGUCUAUGAUCUUUUUUGGGUUUGAAAAACCACAAGAACGUCUAUAGCAAGAACAUUACAAGAACGUCUGUCUAAUCUCUUGGGUUUGAUAAAACCACAAGAAAACAAAAAGCUUUAAAAGUCCUGUUAAAAGAGGAAAAUCGUAGUCAAAUAAAAACAGUUCAAAACGGAAUCCUGAUUUCAAAAAUCUCAAAACAAAACCGGGAUAAAAGCGCUUGAAAAUAAACGGGAAAGUCUAAGGACAUACAGAGAAGAGAAAAGACAAUCAAAAAGCUGAGUUUGUGCCAAAGGUGUGCAGAGAGAAACAGGACGACAUAGAUGUUUUUGAUUUACCUCAGUUGAGCUAUUGGGAGAGAACCACCGUAAGAGCACUCCUAAAUGUACAACGGCCGGUAUCAACUUGAAUAGAAAUGGUGUCGUUACCUGCAACACAUUCACUUUAAUGUACAUGUCAAAAUAUUCGUUCUAUAACUGAAAUGGUGUGGAUGUGAACCAUACCAGGCUUAGAGCAGUUGUUCCCAGAAGCAGGAGGUACAGUUGAAUAAACACAAAACCCUUCACUGUUAUCACUCCACCAAAAGCAAAAUUAUGAGCAACCUAUUAUGGUACCACACAGUCGGGAAGAUAUAACCGUAGUUGCACAACACAGUUUCAUUUGAUUGCUUACCUCAAUAAGGUGAAGAUUAGAUGCUCGACUUAGCAGAACAAAAGCAAAUUCCCCAAUCUGCGCAAGCGACAUUCCAACCUAUAGAGAAGAAAACUGUAAGGGCUCUCACUACGAGUAAGGUUUGGAGCAAUGUGAAAGCAAAAAGGAAGGGUUCACUUCUUACAAGUACUGCAGUUUUGUUAUUGUAUCCAAAGACCUUAACAACGAUUGCAACGACCACGGUCUUUAUCACUAUCACCAGUAACACAGCUGCUACCAGAAUAUCAACAUGGUUCCACAAGAAGUGCAUAUGUAUCAACAUUCCAAUACUAGCAAGGAACAACGCUGCAAAAAAAUUGCGGAUUGGUUCUACCUGAAAGGGAAGCACAGGAAUGAUAAGAAGAGCUCUAUGUGGCAAAAAAGAGAAAUGCAUUUCAUAAAGUCACCAACAGAUAUAUAGCACAAAAGACACUUGUGGCAUAAGAAUGUUCAAAUAAAAUGCGAAAAGAUCCACAAGUCCGAAAGAGUCAAAAUUGACUUCUUACUUGUUCAAGAGUAUGCUGGGCGAGAUCCGUUGAUGAGAUCAUCACUCCUGCCGCAAAGGAACCCAGCUCAAGACUUAGACCGAGCUUGUCACUACACUGAAGAAACCAAAACAAUACUGAGUUUAUGAACUGAAAAUUUGAGAUAGCACAUGUGCAAACGGCCAAUAGAUAAGAAGAACAAAUGGAUCAGACUGACCCAAGCAACAAGCAAACAAAAUGCUACAGCGGCCAACUGGUAGAGCUCGUUAGUCUGUCAAAGAUUGACGAACGCUUAAGUUGAUAAACAUUUUAAAGACCAAAAACGGAAGCAAGUAAAAAUAUGUGUAUACCUGAGAAGAAAGGCUUGUCAUAAGUUUUAGAAACCAAGGUACCCAGGUACGUGACAGUACAAACAAAGCAGCCAAAAACGCAAUCAAAAUAGCCAACCUUGAAAGAAAUUACCGCACGGUCAAAAGAAAUGAAAUAUCAAAAACUUGGUUUCACUGAACAACAGUAUAACAAGUGAAAAAGGAAGCAGGAUAUUGUCGACAUUUUCACAGAACUUCCAGUAAAAUAGAAAACAUACGAUUUAGCCAUGGACAACAUUCCUUGAACGACACCAGAUGUGCCACCAAGAACCGGAAGGAGAGCAAAAAGCAAACCCACAGCACAAUCCUAGAGAUUCAUGAAGCCAUAUAUUAAAAAUCUAAUGAAAGCAACUGUAGGAUACAACAUACUAAUAGCUGAAAUCCAGUAGCAUACAAAAGAGUAAGCGGAAACAGUAGCCUGUACAAAUCAUAUUACUAUGCUAUUGUUUGGAGAGUGACUGAGAUACCUGAAGGAUAAGUGUUCCAACGGUUAUCUGGCCAUGUAGAGCACUUAUGCUCUUUUUUCCAUUAAAAAUUUCAACACCUGAUAUAAGAAUCAUGGCAAGGUAAAAAUAACAUAUGAGGAUCACCCCUAAAGAGAAACUUAGGGAAACAUAACUGGUACAACAAAAGAAAGGAUUUAAUACAGUGAGAGCACACAGAGUAAAUUAUAACAGUUUAGAAUUACAAAAGUGAUAUUAGAAUAUACCACCGCUGUUGACGACAUCGAAAGAAAAGCACCUACGAAUAUUCCUUCUGUUAGUUUACCACCGCAUAACUGCAAUGCAAUGAAGAAGCAGCCAAGUCAACCCAAUGCAUUCCUUUUCAUGAUUUAUACACAAUAAGCCUAAUAACUCAUUCUUACUCAAUUGCUAUUACUAUUUACAAACUAGAACAUACCGAGGCUGUUAUCCCACUCAAGCACAUGAACAAAAAUAUUUGAAGAAGACCUCCUGGAAUAGCUACUGCACGAACUACACGAAGCUGCGACCACAAAGUACAAUAAAUCAAUGACUAUCUCAAAAGUUUCAAAAGAACAAAGAAACCAGAAAAGUGUAAGAGGGUGGAAACAUGCAAACCUUUGCUGCAGAAAAUUCUAAUCCUAAAGCAAAAAGAAGAAAGAUUACACCAAACUGAGCUACUGUUUCAACCUGUGCUACACAAAAGAAUAUAUAUAUCAAGUCUUGUCGACCAUUAACAUAGCCAGUCAAUCUCUUAAUCAUGAAAACUUCCGUCGAAAUGCAAUAUGAAGACAAAAAGGAGGAACUUUGAAGAGCUAAAGCUGAUGUAAGCUACCUGCACCAUUUCACUAACAAAGCUUAACCCACCCGGUCCAAUGAUAGAUCCAGCCAACAGAUACCCAGUAAUGACCUGCCAAGUAAGUAGUACAGAAAUUAAAUAUGGCCGUCACUGUUCGAUGAUUCAAAGGCCAACAAAAUCAAUUCUAAGCUCUUGGAAAGGUGAAUACUCAAAUGGUAACGGAAUAAUGUUGAAAGUUACAAGCUCUGCAAAGGAAGCGUGUACUCACCGGUUGACCAGCACAAGCAAAUGCAAUUCCACCACAAGUAGCAGAAACAAUGACGACGACCAAAUCUGAUAUCAGCCUACAAAUAUAUCCAGUUAAGAGAGGCGUCCCCAACAAAAAACGGUUAGGUAGAUUCUUACAAAUGAUAAAUGAUCAAAGACCUUUCCUUACGAAUGCUAUAUUUACCUUAAAUCUAGCUGCAGUACAGGGUACUUGGACUUUGGAUUGGACAUGAUAAAAACGUUGUCCUGGAUUGGAAUUGAAAAUUCACAAUUCAGGAAUGUUGUCACAAACGGGUAGAUAACAGGUGUACAUUCUCUCUUAACCAAUAUAUAGUACAAUUCUUCAAAGACUAUGAAAGCUUACCUUCCUAUCUAUCAGUCUUGGAGUAUCUUCUACGCCAUUCUCGUUAUCCAAAUUAAAGAAUGAUCUAGCAUAAAAGGCACUGAUUAUAUUACCGCCUCUGAAACAAAGCUAGAUAGCAGCCACAACUUUCACAAAUCGAGUCCAAAAAGGGUAAAGCAAGCAUGAUUAUAAAGAGACUCACUUCUCCUCCUUGGUCUUGGUCUCAUUUUUCUUGGGCUUCACUCGAGCAACAGUUUCCAGAACAGCCUAAAGAGCAGAACAAAUGGUUUAAUAAAAAGAAGGAAAAAAAAACAAGAAAGACUGAGUAGUGUACCGUCUAAAAGCAAUAAGGCCACAAAUGAAGUGGCGAAAACAAAGAUUACAAUUAACCAACCUGCUGAUCAGCAACGCUAUUAUUAAAGCUUCCUGGAUCAGGAACUGCAAAAGCAAAACAAGACAAAAGCAAUUCACAAACCACUUAUUCAAAGAGUUCAAAUAACAUCUUGUAUAUCCUCUAGGACGAGACCAGACCAAGUGAUAUAAUCCAAGAGUUUUAAGCACUAUGCCAUUGGUCAAUAACUUUUAUCAUCUCAAUAUGCAAUUCAUUAAAUUCUAUAAGCCAUGAGUAAUCUAAAAACUCCAAUGCAGAUGUGAGCAUUAGCUAAAAUCAAUGAUAAAUCCCUAAGGAGUAGAAUCAAUUUUCACCAAAUCUAAAACUGAAAACAAAACCCUAGUGUAGCAAACGAACCAUCGUUCUGGUCAUUCUCCGGAAACUCCUUCUCAAGUGCCCUAUCGAUCAUAUCGGCGAAACUGUCCUCCUUAGGUUUCGCGUUCGUCGCAUUGGACUCGGCGGCGUUUCCGUUGAUCUCGCGUGUGGCAACUGACUCAGUCCCGAUAUCGGACUCGGCGGAGAAGGCAAGAUGGAAACUACAGAUCAGGAGAAACGCCAGAAACCUCAUCGUUUCCACGGAGAUGAAUUCGCCGAUUUUACACCGCCGCAUCUCAGUGACGGUGGUGGCGCGGCGGAGCGAUUAAGAAAUAGAGAGAGAGAGAGAGAGUGAUUGUGAAAGAUAGAUUCUGCUUCCUUCUUCUUCUUCUCUCUCUUUCUGGUGGUUAGAGAGCGAGAAAGAAAACAGAUCGAAGGAAAAUUAAUUAAUACUAUUAAAGUAAAAAGGGUAACAUUUGCUGAAUAUGCACAUUAAAUACGUGUAAAUUAUAUUCAACUGUUAUCGUUUUUUUUUUUUUUUUGCUUGUACUAAAUAGCUUAAUUUUGGUGAAGAAACCAGCAAAUUUUCAUUUUAUUUUAAUAAAUAAAUGAUAUCUCAUUCAACUUUAAUGUUACUGAAUGAUACAUGGAGAUAAUAAAUAAUACUCCAAGUAAAAAUUUUUAGAUUUUUUUCUUGUUCCACAAAAAUAGAUUUUCUAUAUUGUUAAGGUAUUUUUUUAUACUUUUAAAAAAUAUUAAUUGAGAAUAUUUGAAUUGAUAAAAUUUCAUUGGUGGAAAGUUGUUGAAAAGUGUAUAAUAAAGUAAAAAAAUUAAAUUAUAAAUGUUUAUUAAAUUAUUAAUAAGCGUGCAUACUAUAAAAAUUUUAUCAAUUCAAAUAUUCUUUUGAUCUUACUUUCGGGAACAAAGAGAGAGUAUUCUUUUGAUGGUACUACGGAUGCUACAACUUUAGGAUGGUGCUGUUGAUCAUCUGGACUAAAAAGGAUGACAAAGAGGAAUCCCAAGCCCUUAAUCUUGAACUGUACAUAGAGUGAUAGAUUACUAACUUAGAUUAUAGAAUGUUUUAGUCAUUUAUUUUUAUAGUAUAUAUAUAGUUGAGUUGGUAUACAAUGUUUGCUAGCUGGGCCGGGAAAUGUCCAGUGUUUAUCAAUUGGCAUACAGUUGCAUAUGAGCUGAAAAGCUUUGGAAGUCCAGUUCCUCGGAUUCGAGUUGAUCAAAACAAAAAGUAUAUAUAUGAAGCUGGUUUUUAUUAUUCUUGAUGAAUAAUUUACACAUGUAGUCACGAUAAAUGCAUGGUUUCGUGUACAACUCUGUGAUGAUAGUACUCUACGUAACACUUGGAUCAACUGUAUACAAUUCUACAUGCAAUACGAUAAGAUUUUCAGUAAACUUUGCGUUUACAUACUUAACCCUUAUUACAACCUUCAAAAGAAUAUUGUGAAUAUUAAACUCUAAACCUAAUUAAUACUCAAACAUUUGUCCAAGGAAUUUUCACAAGAUAAAACAAGUUAUAUCAUAAAUAAUUUGUACUUGGCUAUACAAAAAUGAUACGUCUUUAAAAAAUGGGUAUUGUCCCACUAAACUCAAUGUGCCGUCACGGUUGAAUCCGCUUGACCACCAAAAUAGAUUUGUCGGUGUGAUUUUUAUAAAUCCCUUAUAUAUUAACCGAGAAACAAUACAACAUUGUUUUGUAGACACGUGUCACCAUAAAAAUGAAAUUCAGAAUUCUUAGAGAAAUAGGUUGGUCCAUCUUAUUUACAUUAUACUAACUAUUAAAUUGAUAAAUAGCAUACAGAAGAAUAUUAUCGCACUUUCCUUAAAAAAAGCUACAAAAUUUUCUAAUAUGAUUAACAUAUAUAAAAGAAUUAAUGAUUAUGAAUAAUAAAUAUUUGAUAAGAAUUUUAGUAUCUUAGCUCUUUUUUAUUUAAUUUGACAUUAUUAAAAGAUAUUAAGCAACCACAUUAACUAUAUAAUAAAAACAUGAUUUUUAUAUGUUAUAUUUUUAAUGGAUAAUUCUCCUAAACAGACCAUUUUCAAGUUUUGAUCACAAAAAUAGACCAUAAGGAAAAAAAUGACCAAAAUGUUUCAUUUAAUAGGUAAAAGAACCAUAAUACCCUAGAUAUAUAUAUAUAUAUAUAUAUAUAAAAUUAUAGUUUAGAUUAUAUUUUUUAAAUUCGAACUUUUUAUAAUAAUUUUUUUAUAAUUUUUUUCGAAAUUUUUUUUAAUAAAAUUUUAAAUCUCAAUCUCAAAUCUCCAUCUCUCAACUCUAAACCCUACGGUUUUGAUUAGUUAAUCCUAGGGGUAUAACUGUAGAUCUCUUUAAUGAAACAUUUUGGUUAUUUUGAUCCUUAGGAUCUGUAUUUGUGACAUAAACCUUUUUAGUGCUAUUCUAGGGUAUUUCCCAUUUAAUUUUUAAAACGACUAUAAAUUACUAAAAUAGUUAAAUGUCUCAUUACUAAAAUUUUGUCAUCAAUGGUUUAAUUUUUUUGGUGAUAAAAAAAUACAAAUGAUCAUAAAUUGUAUGAAUAUGACUAGACAUUCAUAUUAUAUUUUAAUAUUUUUUUAAAUUAAAUUAUAUAGCAUAGAAAAAUACUCAAGUAUGAUAAUUUCUAAAUUUGUAUUAAAAAAUAUUAAAAUCUUAUUAUUUUAAUUUUAAAAUUUGCAUUCAAAAAAUCGCACAUUAGAAAAUUUGUGUUUAUCGUAUGAAUAUGAUUCUAAAUAAUAAAUAUUUAUAUUAAAAUAUACUAUAUAUAUAUAUAUCCAUGUCAUUAAAAUUUAGUUAUAUACUAUAUAAAACAAAUAAAAUAAUUUUGAUUUAUUUACCAAAAAAAGUAUCAUAAAUUAGAUGUAUUGUUUCGAUUUAUAUGCUCACUCUGAUUUAAUUAUAUACAUAAUAAAUAAAUGAAUAUAAAUAAAUAAUAAUAUAUAAAAUUUAUUUUUAUAUAUAACAUAAUUGUGCGGGUCUUAAGUCAUAUGAUAAUCUAGAAUACUUAUACACUAAUCAGCAUCCCAACCAUUAUAUAAGAAGUUGUAAAAUAUGAAAUACAUAUUUAUAAAAUAUCUAAUUCAAAACCAAGAGCGCCCAUAGAAGUGAGAUAGAUUUUUAGCUUAAUCCCGCUUAGACUCACAUGGACUUUUCCAUUGUCGGAUUGAGCCAUCAACCAAACAUAUUUUAGCUGAAUUAAUUUAUUCUAUUUCUCGAGACUUAUUAAUUAAACAAUUAGAUAAAAGAAAUGUUAUUCCUCAAAUCUGUUUUCAAGUAGGUGAGUAGAUCGAAACCCAGAACAACUCUUUUUUUUUGCUUAAAACCCCAAGAACUACUUAUAGACCUAACUUUAACAACAACAAUACAAAAGAAAUGUACUAAGCACACAAUACAAAACGAAGCAUGAUGGUCUAACUAACUCCAGCGAAUAUAACUUAUGAGCGAGUGGUAAGGAAAAACACUUUCCUUGUAAAGAAGAAAGAAAAUUCACAUUAAUUAGGUUAGAAGAAUCAUUAAAAGAAAAUUCAAAACUUUUGAUCACAUGNNNNNNNNNNNNNNNNNNNNNNNNNNNNNNNNNNNNNNNNNNNNNNNNNNNNNNNNNNNNNNNNNNNNNNNNNNNNNNNNNNNNNNNNNNNNNNNNNNNNAGGGUGAGGAACCCUCGAGAUAGUGUUAGCACCGAGAUACGUGUUGAUCAAGUCUUGAUUGUUAGAUAUAGGGAUCCGUUGAGUAGAUGGUCGUUUGGCCAUGUCUAUUAUUAGUAUUAUUAGAUUAAGGUCGAGCAUACCUUAAUCGGUGCGGUUUUGGGGAUUAGCCUUAAAGCUAUUUUCUGCGCUUAGGCUAAUAUGAGAUUGGUUAUUUUGUGGUGUUAGCAGCUACUAGGUUUAGGUAUUUAGGUAGCCAGCUCACUGAGUGACCUUCUGUUACUCACCCACUCUCGUUGUCCUUUUUGCAGGAGUUUAGGUUUAGGAGAUUGGACGCUAGGCCACCGAAAUAGAUUUGCAGUGCAUUUGGCUACGGUUUUGAUUUUUAUACGAUUUAUGUUUCCGUUGCGUUUUAUCGGAUUUGGGAUCCCUAAAGUAUUGCAAAUAUUCUUAAAAGUCUUGGAUUUAAAUCUAAAAAAUUACGGGUCCAAUAUGAUAUUGGUUUAGUCCGAACCAACACAACGUUAGGUCUUGUACGGGUUGAAAAGCCUUAGGCCUCGAUCUAACGGAACCGUUAACUCAUGGUAACAGGUUGCAAAGCCUAAGCUUUGAUUUAGCGGGACUGUUUAGUGGAUGAACUAGUCUAGGUUGCGGAAUAAAUCUGUGACUCGGACCGGAUCGUCCCUAGCUCGUCACGUAACGCUUCCGGACCAUGGUGUUUGUGUUGGACGGUCAGUCAUGUUCUUUUGUUUGAUUGUUGGCUGGCCGGUUGGCCUUUCUCCCCAAUCCUUCUGUUGUUGGUCUGUCGGUCAUGUUCUUGUUUGAUUGUUGCCGGUGGGUCGACCUAUACCUAGGACGGUUCGGGGGUGUUACAGUCCUUGUCUUAGGACUUUCUCAAACUGUACCAUUCAAAUAACUGAAAACAGAAAAGUCUUUGGUCUUUAAGACUUGUAAGCCGUGGGUAAUAAAUCUUUGUCUUUGUUAGACAUGUGUAAGCCGUGGGUAAAAUCUUUGUAAGCCGUGGUAAGGAAUCUGUUUUCAGUUAUAGUCUUUUGUCUUAAGACUGAGCCGCAUGCUCUUAUUUGCCAUCCCCUAAAGCCCUUCUUAUACAUGCACCACCAACCCAUAUUCUCGGUCCAUUAGGAGAUGGCAUAAGUUUCUUUUAGAGGCAGCAAGGGACAAUGUUUUCAGUUAUAGUCCUUGUCUUAGGACUUUCUCAAACUGUACCGUUCAAAUAACUGAAAACAGAAAAGUCUUUGGUCUUUAAGACUUGUAAGCCGUGGGUAAUAAAUAUUUGUCUUUAUCUAAGACAUGUGUAAGCCGAGGGUAAUAAAUCUUUGUAAGCCGUGGGUAAGGAAUCUGUUUUUAGUUAUAGUCUUUUGUCUUAAACUGAGCCGCAUGCUCUUAUUUGCCAUCCCCUGACGCCCUUCUCUAUACAUGCACCACCAACCCAUAUUCUCGAUCCAUUAGGGGAUGGCAUAAGUUUCUUUUAGAGGCAGCAAGGGACAUUGUUUUCAGUUAUAGUCCUUGUCUUAGGACUUUCUCAAACUGUACUGUUCAAAUAACUGAAAACAGAAGAGUCUUUGGUCUUUAAGACUUGUAAGCCGUGGGUAAUAAAUUUUUGUCUUUGUCUAAGACAUGUGUAAGCCGAGGGUAAUAAAUCUUUGUAAGCCGUGGGUAAGGAAUCUGUUUCCAGUUAUAGUCUUUUGUCUUAAGACUGAGCCGCAUGCUCUUAUUUGCCAUCCCCUAACGCCCUUCUCUAUACAUUCACCACCAACCCAUAUUCUCGAUCCAUUAGGGGAUGGCUUAAGUUUCUUUUAGAGGCAGCAAGGGACAAUGUUUUCAGUUAUAGUCCUUGUCUUAGGACUUUCUCAAACUGUACCGUUCAUAUAACUGAAAACAGAAAAAUCUUUGGUCUUUAAGACUUGUAAGCCGUGGGUAAUAAAUCUUUGUCUUUGUCUAAGACAUGUGUAAGCCGAGGGUAAUAAAUCUUUGUAAGCCGUGGGUAAGAAAUCUGUUUUCAGUUAUAGUCUUUUGUCUUAAGACUGAGCCGCAUGCUCUUAUUUGCCAUCCCCUAACGUCCUUCUCUAUACAUGCACCGCCAACCCAUAUUCUCGAUCCAUUAGGGGAUGGCAUAAGUUUCUUUUAGAGGCAGCAAGGGACAUUGUUUUCAGUUAUAGUCCUUGUCUUAGGACUUUCUCAAACUGUACCGUUCAAAUAACUGAAAACAGAAAAGUCUUUGGUCUUUAAGACUUGUAAGCCGUGGGUAAUAAAUCAUUGUCUUUGUCAAAGACAUGUGUAAGCCGUGGGAAAAAAAUUUUGUAAGCCGGAGGUUAGGAAUCUGUUUUCAGUUAUAGUCUUUUGUCUUAAGACUGAGCCGCAUGCUCUUAUUUGCCAUCCCCUAAUGCCCUUCUUUCUACAUGCACCACCAACCCAUAUUCUCGAUCCAUUAGGGGAUAGCAUAAGUUUCUUUUAGAGGCAGCAAGGGACAUUGUUUUCAGUUAUAGUACUUGUCUUAGGACUUUUUCAAACUGUACCAUUCAAAUAACUGAAAACAGAAAAGUCUUUGGUCUUUAAGACUUUUAAGCCGUGGGUAAUAAAUCUUUGUCUUUGUCAAGACAUGUGUAAGCCGUGGGUAAUGUAAGCCGUGGGUAAGGAAUCUGUUUUCAGUUAUAGUCUUUUGUCUUAAGACUGAGCCGCAUGCUCUUAUUUGCCAUCCCCUAAAGCCCUUCUUUAUACAUGCACCACCAACCCAUAUUCUCGGUCCAUUUAACAAUCUUGCUAUAGGAGAUGGCAUAAGUUUCUUUUAGAGGCAGCAAGGGACAAUGUUCCCAAAUAAGAAUCUGACAGAACACUAUAAGAUUAGUGUCUGUCUAUGAUCUUUUUUGGGAUUUGAAAAACAAAAACAAAACCAAAACAAAACCAAAACAAUGUUCCCAAACAAGAAUCUGACAGAACACUAUUAGAUUAGUGUUUGUCUAUGAUCUUUUUUGGGUUUGAAAAACCACAAGAACGUCUAUAGCAAGAACAUUACAAGAACGUCUGUCUAAUCUCUUGGGUUUGAUAAAACCACAAGAAAACAAAAAGCUUUAAAAGUCCUGUUAAAAGAGGAAAAUCGUAGUCAAAUAAAAACAGUUCAAAACGGAAUCCUGAUUUCAAAAAUCUCAAAACAAAACCGGGAUAAAAGCGCUUGAAAAUAAACGGGAAAGUCUAAGGACAUACAGAGAAGAGAAAAGACAAUCAAAAAGCUGAGUUUGUGCCAAAGGUGUGCAGAGAGAAACAGGACGACAUAGAUGUUUUUGAUUUACCUCAGUUGAGCUAUUGGGAGAGAACCACCGUAAGAGCACUCCUAAAUGUACAACGGCCGGUAUCAACUUGAAUAGAAAUGGUGUCGUUACCUGCAACACAUUCACUUUAAUGUACAUGUCAAAAUAUUCGUUCUAUAACUGAAAUGGUGUGGAUGUGAACCAUACCAGGCUUAGAGCAGUUGUUCCCAGAAGCAGGAGGUACAGUUGAAUAAACACAAAACCCUUCACUGUUAUCACUCCACCAAAAGCAAAAUUAUGAGCAACCUAUUAUGGUACCACACAGUCGGGAAGAUAUAACCGUAGUUGCACAACACAGUUUCAUUUGAUUGCUUACCUCAAUAAGGUGAAGAUUAGAUGCUCGACUUAGCAGAACAAAAGCAAAUUCCCCAAUCUGCGCAAGCGACAUUCCAACCUAUAGAGAAGAAAACUGUAAGGGCUCUCACUACGAGUAAGGUUUGGAGCAAUGUGAAAGCAAAAAGGAAGGGUUCACUUCUUACAAGUACUGCAGUUUUGUUAUUGUAUCCAAAGACCUUAACAACGAUUGCAACGACCACGGUCUUUAUCACUAUCACCAGUAACACAGCUGCUACCAGAAUAUCAACAUGGUUCCACAAGAAGUGCAUAUGUAUCAACAUUCCAAUACUAGCAAGGAACAACGCUGCAAAAAAAUUGCGGAUUGGUUCUACCUGAAAGGGAAGCACAGGAAUGAUAAGAAGAGCUCUAUGUGGCAAAAAAGAGAAAUGCAUUUCAUAAAGUCACCAACAGAUAUAUAGCACAAAAGACACUUGUGGCAUAAGAAUGUUCAAAUAAAAUGCGAAAAGAUCCACAAGUCCGAAAGAGUCAAAAUUGACUUCUUACUUGUUCAAGAGUAUGCUGGGCGAGAUCCGUUGAUGAGAUCAUCACUCCUGCCGCAAAGGAACCCAGCUCAAGACUUAGACCGAGCUUGUCACUACACUGAAGAAACCAAAACAAUACUGAGUUUAUGAACUGAAAAUUUGAGAUAGCACAUGUGCAAACGGCCAAUAGAUAAGAAGAACAAAUGGAUCAGACUGACCCAAGCAACAAGCAAACAAAAUGCUACAGCGGCCAACUGGUAGAGCUCGUUAGUCUGUCAAAGAUUGACGAACGCUUAAGUUGAUAAACAUUUUAAAGACCAAAAACGGAAGCAAGUAAAAAUAUGUGUAUACCUGAGAAGAAAGGCUUGUCAUAAGUUUUAGAAACCAAGGUACCCAGGUACGUGACAGUACAAACAAAGCAGCCAAAAACGCAAUCAAAAUAGCCAACCUUGAAAGAAAUUACCGCACGGUCAAAAGAAAUGAAAUAUCAAAAACUUGGUUUCACUGAACAACAGUAUAACAAGUGAAAAAGGAAGCAGGAUAUUGUCGACAUUUUCACAGAACUUCCAGUAAAAUAGAAAACAUACGAUUUAGCCAUGGACAACAUUCCUUGAACGACACCAGAUGUGCCACCAAGAACCGGAAGGAGAGCAAAAAGCAAACCCACAGCACAAUCCUAGAGAUUCAUGAAGCCAUAUAUUAAAAAUCUAAUGAAAGCAACUGUAGGAUACAACAUACUAAUAGCUGAAAUCCAGUAGCAUACAAAAGAGUAAGCGGAAACAGUAGCCUGUACAAAUCAUAUUACUAUGCUAUUGUUUGGAGAGUGACUGAGAUACCUGAAGGAUAAGUGUUCCAACGGUUAUCUGGCCAUGUAGAGCACUUAUGCUCUUUUUUCCAUUAAAAAUUUCAACACCUGAUAUAAGAAUCAUGGCAAGGUAAAAAUAACAUAUGAGGAUCACCCCUAAAGAGAAACUUAGGGAAACAUAACUGGUACAACAAAAGAAAGGAUUUAAUACAGUGAGAGCACACAGAGUAAAUUAUAACAGUUUAGAAUUACAAAAGUGAUAUUAGAAUAUACCACCGCUGUUGACGACAUCGAAAGAAAAGCACCUACGAAUAUUCCUUCUGUUAGUUUACCACCGCAUAACUGCAAUGCAAUGAAGAAGCAGCCAAGUCAACCCAAUGCAUUCCUUUUCAUGAUUUAUACACAAUAAGCCUAAUAACUCAUUCUUACUCAAUUGCUAUUACUAUUUACAAACUAGAACAUACCGAGGCUGUUAUCCCACUCAAGCACAUGAACAAAAAUAUUUGAAGAAGACCUCCUGGAAUAGCUACUGCACGAACUACACGAAGCUGCGACCACAAAGUACAAUAAAUCAAUGACUAUCUCAAAAGUUUCAAAAGAACAAAGAAACCAGAAAAGUGUAAGAGGGUGGAAACAUGCAAACCUUUGCUGCAGAAAAUUCUAAUCCUAAAGCAAAAAGAAGAAAGAUUACACCAAACUGAGCUACUGUUUCAACCUGUGCUACACAAAAGAAUAUAUAUAUCAAGUCUUGUCGACCAUUAACAUAGCCAGUCAAUCUCUUAAUCAUGAAAACUUCCGUCGAAAUGCAAUAUGAAGACAAAAAGGAGGAACUUUGAAGAGCUAAAGCUGAUGUAAGCUACCUGCACCAUUUCACUAACAAAGCUUAACCCACCCGGUCCAAUGAUAGAUCCAGCCAACAGAUACCCAGUAAUGACCUGCCAAGUAAGUAGUACAGAAAUUAAAUAUGGCCGUCACUGUUCGAUGAUUCAAAGGCCAACAAAAUCAAUUCUAAGCUCUUGGAAAGGUGAAUACUCAAAUGGUAACGGAAUAAUGUUGAAAGUUACAAGCUCUGCAAAGGAAGCGUGUACUCACCGGUUGACCAGCACAAGCAAAUGCAAUUCCACCACAAGUAGCAGAAACAAUGACGACGACCAAAUCUGAUAUCAGCCUACAAAUAUAUCCAGUUAAGAGAGGCGUCCCCAACAAAAAACGGUUAGGUAGAUUCUUACAAAUGAUAAAUGAUCAAAGACCUUUCCUUACGAAUGCUAUAUUUACCUUAAAUCUAGCUGCAGUACAGGGUACUUGGACUUUGGAUUGGACAUGAUAAAAACGUUGUCCUGGAUUGGAAUUGAAAAUUCACAAUUCAGGAAUGUUGUCACAAACGGGUAGAUAACAGGUGUACAUUCUCUCUUAACCAAUAUAUAGUACAAUUCUUCAAAGACUAUGAAAGCUUACCUUCCUAUCUAUCAGUCUUGGAGUAUCUUCUACGCCAUUCUCGUUAUCCAAAUUAAAGAAUGAUCUAGCAUAAAAGGCACUGAUUAUAUUACCGCCUCUGAAACAAAGCUAGAUAGCAGCCACAACUUUCACAAAUCGAGUCCAAAAAGGGUAAAGCAAGCAUGAUUAUAAAGAGACUCACUUCUCCUCCUUGGUCUUGGUCUCAUUUUUCUUGGGCUUCACUCGAGCAACAGUUUCCAGAACAGCCUAAAGAGCAGAACAAAUGGUUUAAUAAAAAGAAGGAAAAAAAAAACAAGAAAGACUGAGUAGUGUACCGUCUAAAAGCAAUAAGGCCACAAAUGAAGUGGCGAAAACAAAGAUUACAAUUAACCAACCUGCUGAUCAGCAACGCUAUUAUUAAAGCUUCCUGGAUCAGGAACUGCAAAAGCAAAACAAGACAAAAGCAAUUCACAAACCACUUAUUCAAAGAGUUCAAAUAACAUCUUGUAUAUCCUCUAGGACGAGACCAGACCAAGUGAUAUAAUCCAAGAGUUUUAAGCACUAUGCCAUUGGUCAAUAACUUUUAUCAUCUCAAUAUGCAAUUCAUUAAAUUCUAUAAGCCAUGAGUAAUCUAAAAACUCCAAUGCAGAUGUGAGCAUUAGCUAAAAUCAAUGAUAAAUCCCUAAGGAGUAGAAUCAAUUUUCACCAAAUCUAAAACUGAAAACAAAACCCUAGUGUAGCAAACGAACCAUCGUUCUGGUCAUUCUCCGGAAACUCCUUCUCAAGUGCCCUAUCGAUCAUAUCGGCGAAACUGUCCUCCUUAGGUUUCGCGUUCGUCGCAUUGGACUCGGCGGCGUUUCCGUUGAUCUCGCGUGUGGCAACUGACUCAGUCCCGAUAUCGGACUCGGCGGAGAAGGCAAGAUGGAAACUACAGAUCAGGAGAAACGCCAGAAACCUCAUCGUUUCCACGGAGAUGAAUUCGCCGAUUUUACACCGCCGCAUCUCAGUGACGGUGGUGGCGCGGCGGAGCGAUUAAGAAAUAGAGAGAGAGAGAGAGAGUGAUUGUGAAAGAUAGAUUCUGCUUCCUUCUUCUUCUUCUCUCUCUUUCUGGUGGUUAGAGAGCGAGAAAGAAAACAGAUCGAAGGAAAAUUAAUUAAUACUAUUAAAGUAAAAAGGGUAACAUUUGCUGAAUAUGCACAUUAAAUACGUGUAAAUUAUAUUCAACUGUUAUCGUUUUUUUUUUUUUUUGCUUGUACUAAAUAGCUUAAUUUUGGUGAAGAAACCAGCAAAUUUUCAUUUUAUUUUAAUAAAUAAAUGAUAUCUCAUUCAACUUUAAUGUUACUGAAUGAUACAUGGAGAUAAUAAAUAAUACUCCAAGUAAAAAUUUUUUAGAUUUUUUUCUUGUUCCACAAAAAUAGAUUUUCUAUAUUGUUAAGGUAUUUUUUUAUACUUUUAAAAAAUAUUAAUUGAGAAUAUUUGAAUUGAUAAAAUUUCAUUGGUGGAAAGUUGUUGAAAAGUGUAUAAUAAAGUAAAAAAAUUAAAUUAUAAAUGUUUAUUAAAUUAUUAAUAAGCGUGCAUACUAUAAAAAUUUUAUCAAUUCAAAUAUUCUUUUGAUCUUACUUUCGGGAACAAAGAGAGUAUUCUUUUGAUGGUACUACGGAUGCUACAACUUUAGGAUGGUGCUGUUGAUCAUCUGGACUAAAAAGGAUGACAAAGAGGAAUCCCAAGCCCUUAAUCUUGAACUGUACAUAGAGUGAUAGAUUACUAACUUAGAUUAUAGAAUGUUUUAGUCAUUUAUUUUGUUAUAGUAUAUAUAUAGUUGAGUUGGUAUACAAUGUUUGCUAGCUGGGCCGGGAAAUGUCCAGUGUUUAUCAAUUGGCAUACAGUUGCAUAUGAGCUGAAAAGCUUUGGAAGUCCAGUUCCUCGGAUUCGAGUUGAUCAAAACAAAAAGUAUAUAUAUGAAGCUGGUUUUUAUUAUUCUUGAUGAAUAAUUUACACAUGUAGUCACGAUAAAUGCAUGGUUUCGUGUACAACUCUGUGAUGAUAGUACUCUACGUAACACUUGGAUCAACUGUAUACAAUUCUACAUGCAAUACGAUAAGAUUUUCAGUAAACUUUGCGUUUACAUACUUAACCCUUAUUACAACCUUCAAAAGAAUAUUGUGAAUAUUAAACUCUAAACCUAAUUAAUACUCAAACAUUUGUCCAAGGAAUUUUCACAAGAUAAAACAAGUUAUAUCAUAAAUAAUUUGUACUUGGCUAUACAAAAAUGAUACGUCUUUAAAAAAUGGGUAUUGUCCCACUAAACUCAAUGUGCCGUCACGGUUGAAUCCGCUUGACCACCAAAAUAGAUUUGUCGGUGUGAUUUUUAUAAAUCCCUUAUAUAUUAACCGAGAAACAAUACAACAUUGUUUUGUAGACACGUGUCACCAUAAAAAUGAAAUUCAGAAUUCUUAGAGAAAUAGGUUGGUCCAUCUUAUUUACAUUAUACUAACUAUUAAAUUGAUAAAUAGCAUACAGAAGAAUAUUAUCGCACUUUCCUUAAAAAAAGCUACAAAAUUUUCUAAUAUGAUUAACAUAUAUAAAAGAAUUAAUGAUUAUGAAUAAUAAAUAUUUGAUAAGAAUUUUAGUAUCUUAGCUCUUUUUUAUUUAAUUUGACAUUAUUAAAAGAUAUUAAGCAACCACAUUAACUAUAUAAUAAAAACAUGAUUUUUUUAUAUGUUAUAUUUUUAAUGGAUAAUUCUCCUAAACAGACCAUUUUCAAGUUUUGAUCACAAAAAUAGACCAUAAGGAAAAAAAUGACCAAAAUGUUUCAUUUAAUAGGUAAAAGAACCAUAAUACCCUAGAUAUAUAUAUAUAUAUAUAUAUAUAUAAAAUUAUAGUUUUAGAUUAUAUUUUUUUAAAUUCGAACUUUUUUAUAAUAAUUUUUUUAUAAUUUUUUUCGAAAUUUUUUUUAAUAAAAUUUUAAAUCUCAAUCUCAAAUCUCCAUCUCUCAACUCUAAACCCUACGGUUUUGAUUAGUUAAUCCUAGGGGUAUAACUGUAGAUCUCUUUAAUGAAACAUUUUGGUUAUUUUGAUCCUUAGGAUCUGUAUUUGUGACAUAAACCUUUUUAGUGCUAUUCUAGGGUAUUUCCCAUUUUAAUUUUUAAAACGACUAUAAAUUACUAAAAUAGUUAAAUGUCUCAUUACUAAAAUUUUGUCAUCAAUGGUUUAAUUUUUUUGGUGAUAAAAAAAUACAAAUGAUCAUAAAUUGUAUGAAUAUGACUAGACAUUCAUAUUAUAUUUUAAUAUUUUUUUAAAUUAAAUUAUAUAGCAUAGAAAAAUACUCAAGUAUGAUAAUUUCUAAAUUUGUAUUAAAAAAUAUUAAAAUCUUAUUAUUUUAAUUUUAAAAUUUGCAUUCAAAAAAUCGCACAUUAGAAAUUUUGUGUUUAUCGUAUGAAUAUGAUUCUAAAUAAUAAAUAUUUAUAUUAAAAUAUACUAUAUAUAUAUAUAUCCAUGUCAUUAAAAUUUAGUUAUAUACUAUAUAAAACAAAUAAAAUAAUGUUUUGAUUUAUUUACCAAAAAAAGUAUCAUAAAUUAGAUGUAUUGUUUCGAUUUAUAUGCUCACUCUGAUUUAAUUAUAUACAUAAUAAAUAAAUGAAUAUAAAUAAAUAAUAAUAUAUAAAAUUUAUUUUUAUAUAUAACAUAAUUGUGCGGGUCUUAAGUCAUAUGAUAAUCUAGAAUACUUAUACACUAAUCAGCAUCCCAACCAUUAUAUAAGAAGUUGUAAAAUAUGAAAUACAUAUUUAUAAAAUAUCUAAUUCAAAACCAAGAGCGCCCAUAGAAGUGAGAUAGAUUUUUAGCUUAAUCCCGCUUAGACUCACAUGGACUUUUCCAUUGUCGGAUUGAGCCAUCAACCAAACAUAUUUUAGCUGAAUUAAUUUAUUCUAUUUCUCGAGACUUAUUAAUUAAACAAUUAGAUAAAAGAAAUGUUAUUCCUCAAAUCUGUUUUCAAGUAGGUGAGUAGAUCGAAACCCAGAACAACCUCUUUUUUUUUGCUUAAAACCCCAAGAACUACUUAUAGACCUAACUUUAACAACAACAAUACAAAAGAAAUGUACUAAGCACACAAUACAAAACGAAGCAUGAUGGUCUAACUAACUCCAGCGAAUAUAACUUAUGAGCGAGUGGUAAGGAAAAACACUUUCCUUGUAAAGAAGAAAGAAAAUUCACAUUAAUUAGGUUAGAAGAAAUCAUAAAAGAAAAUUCAAAACUUUUGAUCACAUGGUUGUGUGGACUAAACUUGGACUUUUCUUUAAUCAUAUAGUUCAUUUUUCAUUUUCAAGGAAGAUCGAUCCUUUUACUUAUGUUCUUUUUAUUUAAUUGUAAUGACACUCCCAGAGUUAAAAACCAGUAUUGAAAGAAGCAAAUGGUUUUGCCUCUCCAAGUAGGCAACUAUGCCUCCCAAAGAAAAAGAGACAUCAUGCUCACUCCAUGCCUAUAAAUACUCCUCAAAUCAAUAACUUAUCCAUUCAAAUUGUGUCUGAGAACAAAAAGGCAAAAAAAAGAAAAAAAGAAGAAGAUGGGUUUAAUCAAAGAGAAAGAGAUGGAGAUUCCAGUCAUUGAUUUUAGUGAACUGGAUGGAGAAAACAGAACCAAGACUAUGUCUCUUCUUGAUCAUGCAUGUGAUAAGUGGGGCUUCUUCAUGGUAUGUACAAAUCUUUAUCCACAAAUCAAGUUCUUAAGUAUGCAUAUGUAAACGUUCCUAGAUCCAGUUCUAGUGUAGACCCUUAUUAAAUGCGGGCUGAUGAAUUUUCAGGUUGAUAAUCAUGGAAUUGAUAAAGAAUUGAUGGAUAAAGUAAAACAGCUGAUUAACUCUCAUUAUGAGGAGCAUUUGAAAGAGAAGUUUUACCAGUCAGAGAUGGUCAAGGCUUUGAGUGAAGGCAAAACGUCAGAUGCUGAUUGGGAAAGCACUUUCUUCGUUUGGCAUAAGCCGACUUCAAACAUAUCCAAAGUCUCCAACAUUUCAGAUGAACUCAUGUAAGUAACUAAAAAAAUUAUAUGUCCAAAUUUUUACCAAUUUCUUUAUUUGGACAAAGUUUUUACCAUUUAUAUGUCUUGCCUAUUAUAAUUAAUAUUAGGAAAGUGUAUCUUAGAUAAGGUUUAUCUUACUAAACCGUCUUACUCUUAUGUAAUGUUUCCUAUUUUCUCUAGGGUUACGUCUUGAAGUCGGCUCAUGCCUUUGUAUAUAUACUCACGUUAUGUGUCAAUACAACACACAAGUUUACAGUUUACAGUAUCUUCUCGAGUUUACAUGGUAUCAGAGCAUAAAGUUCUGUGACCCGAGUAGUUUUUUUUCCGUCGUUCAUAGUCUUUGUUCUUGGUAAGAACAACAGUCUGAAGUCAUGGCCGACGGUGACAUGUCUUCCGCUACCAAAAGUUCGUCUGCUCAAGUUGAGCAAGGUCAAGGUGGUACCGUCAACGUACCGACUCCGUAUUCUCUGUUUGCAUCCGACAACCCAGGAGCGGUGAUAACAUCUGUGAUGUUUACGGGUGACAACUACAAUGAGUGGUCCACGGAGCUAGUUAAUGCACUUAGAGCAAAACGAAAGUUAGGGUUUAUCGAUGGAACAAUAUCAAAACCUGCCAUUGAUGAUCCCAAAUUCGAGCUCUGGUCGUCUGUCAAUUCCUUGAUCGUUGGCUGGAUUCGGUCGUCCAUUGAAGCCAGGGUACGAUCAACAGUCACGUUUAUCUCUGACUCUCACAAGUUGUGGGAGAACUUGAAAAAGCGUUUCUCUGUGGGAAACAAAGUUCGUAUCCACCAUCUUAAAGAACAGUUGGCGUCUUGCAAACAAGAUGGACAGUCAGUAAUGGAUUACUUUGGUCGUCUGGCUAAGAUGUGGGAAGAGCUGGACGCAUACAAACCUCUUCCACCUUGUACUUGCAGUGCAGCAGCUGUCUACGAGAAAGAAAGAGAAGAAGAGAAGGUCCAUCAGUUUCUUAUGGGUUUAGACGAGUCGCGGUUUGGUGUUGUGUGUCAAGGAAUUAUUGCAACAGACUCUUCUAUUGAUUUAGGAGAUGCGUAUUCUAGAGUCGUUCGUGAGGAGCAGCGUCUUGUCUCUUCAAAAGAACGUGAAGUUCAGCAGAGUGCAGUCGGUUUUGUGGCUAAGAAAGAAGCAUCCGACACACAAAAUUCUGGUCAAACAAGAAAAGUAGUUCAUUGUUCUCAUUGUGGACGUCGUGGUCACGAGAAGGCAAAUUGUUGGCAGCUAGUAGGUUUCCCCGACUGGUGGGAAGAGACACCACCAAACCGAGGUGAUAACAGAGGAGGAAGAGGCGGUCGUGGUCGUGGAAGUUACAGCUCAGACCGCACCAAGACUAAUGGCACAAAAGUCCACAAUGCUCAUGCUACUUCUUCGAACUCGUCAUUGUUUCCAGUGUUCACCGAGGAACAGUUGAAAGCGCUCACUCAGAUGAUUAAUGAGAAAAACAGAUCGACUGAGAGGCUGACUGGUAAGCUUUAUGGUGAUCUCAUUCUAGACACAGGUGCCUCUCAUCACAUGACAGGAGAGCUUUCGUUUCUAGAAAACAUCACGAGUAUUCCAUCCUGCCCAGUUGGGUUUGCAGACGGGAAUAAAACUUAUGCGACCCACACCGGCGUCUUUCGCUUGUCCAAUAGCAUUACGUUACAUAAUGUGUUAUUUGUGCCAAAUUUAAACUGCUCCCUUAUCUCAGUGUCAAAGCUACUGCGACAGACGAAUUGCUUUGCUCUUCUAACCGACACUAUUUGUGUUUUACAGGAUCGUUUCACGAGGAUGCUGAUUGGAGCAGGUGAAGAGAGAGAUGGGGUUUACUAUUUUAAAGAUGUUAUGGCUGCACGUGUUGAAGUUUCUGACAAGUCUACUCGCUCAGUUGAUCAGUUUCGUUGGCACCAAAGGCUUGGACAUCCUUCGUUUUCAGUGUUAUCUUAUUUACCGUUUGUGUUAGACUCUAAAGCUUCCAGUCCUUGUGACACUUGUUUUGAAGCUAAGCAAACUAGAGAAGUUUUUUAUGAAAGUUUAAAUAAAACAACAAAAUGUUUUGAGCUUAUUCAUUGCGAUGUCUGGGGUCCUUACAAAGUUCGAUCUUCAUCUGGUGCUGUCUAUUUUCUCACAGUGGUUGAUGACUUCUCACGAGCAGUUUGGACUUAUUUGCUCCUUGAAAAGUCAGAAGUUCAAACCGUCCUUAAGAAUUUUUGCAAGAUGACUGAGAAACAAUUUUCCAAAGAAGUUAAGGUUGUUCGCAGUGAUAACGGAACCGAGUUUAUGUGUAUGUCUCGUUUCUUUCGUGAGAAUGGGAUCAUACAUCAAACUUCUUGUGUGGCUACUCCUCAACAGAAUGGACGAGUAGAAAGAAAGCAUCGCCACAUUCUGAAUAUUGCACGUGCUUUGCUGUUUCAGAGUAACUUGCCGAUCAAGUUUUGGGGGGAGGCGAUUUUGACUGCAGCAUACCUGAUUAAUCGAACGCCUUCAGCUGUGCUUGGUCAUCGCUCACCGUACGAGCUUCUGUAUAAUGAGAAACCAAGUUACUCACAACUCCGUGUCUUCGGGAGUCUCUGUUUUGUUCAUCAUCGAUCGCGUGAUAAAGAUAAGUUUGGGAAACGAAGUCGGCGGUGUGUUUUUGUUGGCUAUCCUUAUGCACAAAAAGGAUGGAAGGUGUUUGAUCUUGAUAAACACGAGUUCUUCAUCUCCCGUGACGUUGUGUUCCAGGAAUCAGAGUUUCCUUACUCAGCACCAACACUCGUUUCUAUUAACAAAGAACCCGUCGUUUCAAAUACAGAACCAGACGGGGAUUGGGAAAACACUAAUCUACCUACCUUAGAAGACAGGGGGAGCUCGUCAGGCUCAGCAACUCCUCCUGUGGCCACAGUUGCAGAGCAAACAACGCCAUCGUCCUCUCCUACGACUGAUGUUGGGGCUGUCGAUAUAGACCAACCUCCGCUGAAUGUUGUUGCUCCUGCAUCUCCUGCUGCUCAAACACCAGUUGUGCAACCGGUAGAAGAAGUCUUCGGUCGAGGACAACGACCUCGUGUUCCGUCUGUUAAACUCAAGGAUUACGUUAUGUACAAUGCCAUACAUCUUGAAAACCCAUCUCUCACAUCCGCCUGUUCUUCAUCGCAUCCUCAUGAGACCGUCCAAGGUAACUCACUAUAUCCUUUAACUGAUUACAUUACUGACGAGAAUUUUUCAGUAGCACAUCGAGCGUUUCUUGCUGCUGUUACUGCUGGAGUAGAACCAAGAUCAUACUCUCAGGCAGUCAAGGAUAAGAUUUGGCGUGGUGCAAUGAAACAAGAAGUAAUUGCUCAUGAAGAAAGUGGCACUUGGGAUAUCGUCUCUCUUCCGAAAGGCAAGAAAGCAAUUGGUUGUCAAUGGAUUUAUAAAUUAAAGUUUAAUGCCGAUGGCACAGUUGAACGUCCUAAGGCGCGUCUGGUUGCUUGCGGAAAUAAUCAAGUACAAGGUGAUGAUUUCUCCGAAACAUUCGCUCCAGUUGUUAAGAUGGGCACCAUCCGCAGUCUACUUGCUCUUGUUGCAGCAAAAGGAUGGGAGGUCCAUCAGAUGGACGUCCAUAAUGCGUUUCUGCAUGGUGAUUUAAAUGAAGAAGUUUACAUGCGGUUACCACCUGGUUUCACUCACUCUGACCCAACUAAAGUCUGUUUGCUUCGCAAGUCCUUAUAUGGACUCCGGCAAGCUCCACGUUGUUGGUUUGAAAAGCUCACAAACUCACUGUUAGAGUACGGGUUCCUUCAGUCAUAUUCAGAUGCUUCUCUGUUCACAUACACAAAAGACUCUAAGGAGAUUCGUGUACUCAUUUAUGUUGAUGAUCUGGUUCUUGCGAGUAAUGAUCUUGAGCUUCUCGUCAAGUUCAAAACUUACUUAGGUGAGUGUUUUAAAAUGAAAGACUUGGGAAAGCUCAAAUACUUUCUUGGCAUUGAAGUGGCAAGGUCCAAAGAAGGUAUCUUUCUCUCUCAACGAAAAUAUUCUUUAGACAUUAUUGAAGACACGGGUCUUCUAGGCUGUAAACCAGUCACUAUUCCCAUGGAACAGUAUCAUCAACUAACAGCAGAGGACACUCCACUUCUUGCUGAUCCUAAGAAGUAUCGCCGCUUGGUUGGUCGGCUAGUUUAUUUGAUGAUCACACGACCAGAGUUAUGUUACACAAUUCAUCUUUUGUCUCAGUUUAUGCAACAACCACGUGAAGCUCAUUGGAAUGCGGCUCUGCGUGUUGUUCGCUUUCUCAAAGGUUGUCCAGGACAGGGUAUUCUUCUGCGUGCUGACAAUAACCUUCAACUCUCAGUUUAUGUCGAUGCUGAUUGGAGUUCGUGUCCGGAUAGUCGUCGUUCGUUGAGUGCGUAUGUGGUCUUUCUUGGUGAUUCACCUAUUGAUUGGAAGACUAAGAAGCAGGACACAGUGUCUAUGUCAUCUGCCGAGGCUGAAUACAGGGCCAUGGCCGCAGCUGUUAAAGAAGUAAAAUGGAUUGUUCCUUUGGUGGAGGAGCUUGGAGUCAAGGUUGUUCAACCUGUUCGUUUUUAUUGUGAUAGUAAAGCAGCCAUUCAUAUCGCUGCUAACCCGGUUUUUCACGAACGUACGAAGCAUCUUGAACGCGAUUGUCACAGUGUACGCGAUGCGGUUAAAGCAGGUCUCAUCUCAACCAUUCAUGUCAAGUCGAAGGAUCAAAUUGCAGACCUCUUAACCAAAGCUUUGGGACGUCCUCAGUUUGAAGCAUUAUCGUCCAAGUUGGGUGUUCAAGACCUUCACUCUCCAACUUGAGGGGGAGUAUUAGGAAAGUGUAUCUUAGAUAAGGUUUAUCUUACUAAACCGUCUUACUCUUAUGUAAUGUUUCCUAUUUUCUCUAGGGUUACGUCUUGAAGUCGGCUCAUGCCUUUGUAUAUAUACUCACGUUAUGUGUCAAUACAACACACAAGUUUACAGUUUACAGUAUCUUCUCGAGUUUACAAUUAACAAUGUGUGGGGAUGAAACUUAUAUUGCAGCAAGACAAUGGAUGAAUAUGUUUCUCAACUGCACAAGUUUGCAGAAAGGCUCUCUAAACUCAUGUGUGAAAAUCUUGGUCUCCCUCGAGAACACAUAGUGAAUGCGUUCUCCGGUAUAGAAGGUCCAGUUUUUGGGACAAAAGUGGCUAAAUACCCAGAAUGCCCUCAUCCGGAGCUCAUUAGAGGGCUGAGAGAACAUACUGAUGCUGGAGGGAUCAUAUUGCUCUUGCAGGAUGAUUGUAAAUUAUAAUAGAAUAGAUAUAUUAUUGUGUUGUGUUUAAUAAGAGAAUACAAUAUGCAUAUAUAUAGUAGUAACAUUAGCAUAAUGUUAACACUAGAUAAUGCUAACUUUCCUAAACAUUUAAUGUAAAUAUGCUAGAAUAUCUUGAGAGUAACUUGUUCUUCAAGUCUUUUCCUUUUAGUUUUGAUGAUCUUCAAGGGUUUCACGGGCUUCACAAUCUUGGUCCGUAAGAUACACAUCUUACAGCCCACAUAUCUCUAAUACUCCCCCGCACGACAAACGUGGGAUGCAACACGCAAAUCUGCAAUCGCAAAGCAGACCACGUAUGUCGUGGACACUAUGUCGAGAAAAACAAAUCAGUAGGUUCCUCCGAGAAUAAACUUCAACUUUAGACAAGGAGGGGUGAAAACUUCAGCUCUUCUUUGGUCUUGACAAUGAGAAUACAUCCCGUGGGCGCAACUGCAGCUCCACAAACAAUCGUCCUUAACUUGGACAGUCCAUACACCGGACUAAAAAAAAACUGACCUAAAAAUUUAAUCGUUCAACUAGAACUCCCCCGUAAUGGUUAAACUAUAACCAAAGUAUUCCAAACUAUGGAAUAUAAAAAAAGACAUAUCUUGAGAAAUUCUAAACCAUAGAAUAAUCUCUACAUAAAAUAACCCAUGUGAAAACUACAAACCCAUAAACCCACUAACUUUUGCACUCAGCCGACCAAACUAAAACAAAUGUUAGAAAGAAAAGAAAAAAAAAUCCCUUUGACAUAGGUAAACGUACUAAACAAAACCCUAAUAGUUAUUAUUCUUAACUAAAACACCAAACUCCAACGACCACAUUCACGUUACCAUGUCGUUUUCAUCGUCGCCAUCCUCACCAUCUUCUUCAACAUCGCCAACACCAACGAUGAUGAUCAUCAAAGCUUUAAACUUAUAAUGCGGAAGCUUUAAUUUUGAUCCCUAAGAAUCGAAUGCUCUGAUACCAUGUAUGUAAAUAUAUAGUAGUAAGAGAAUAUUCUAUUAUACUUUAUAUGCUCUGAUACCAUGUAUGUAAACUUAUAAACCUGGCUCUGAUACCAUGUUAGAUUUGAGUUUAUUAUGGGCUUCCAACUCAAAACCAAUUGGCAAUUAGUGGAUUGGCCCUAACCCUUUAUAUAUUACUUAAUGUCCCAUUGAUUUUCCAAUGUGGGAUACAUAUCCCUUAAUACCCCUCCUCGAGAUGAUGGCUCUUAUCGGCCAGAAAUCUCGGAACUUUAAGACAGUUAUACUCGGUCGAGCGAGUCAAUUACGACCUAUAUACCCGGUCGGGUAGGGUUAAUAUUAAUUAGGGGUUUAACUUAUUAGAACCUGGCUCUGAUACCAUGUAAAUUAUAAUAGAAUAGAUAUAUUAUUGUGUUGUGUUUAAUAAGAGAAUACAAUAUGCAUAUAUAUAGUAGUAACAUUAGCAUAAUGUUAACACUAGAUAAUGCUAACUUUCCUAAACAUUUAAUGUAAAUAUGCUAGAAUAUCUUGAGAGUAACUUGUUCUUCAAGUCUUUUCCUUUUAGUUUUGAUGAUCUUCAAGGGUUUCACGGGCUUCACAAUCUUGGUCCGUAAGAUACACAUCUUACAGCCCACAUAUCUCUAAUAAUGAUCAAGUGCCUGGUCUUGAGUUCUUAAAAGAUGGGAAGUGGGUUCCUAUCCCACCAUCGAAGAACAAUACCAUUUUUGUCAAUACCGGUGAUCAAGUCGAGAUAUUGAGUAAUGGGAGGUACAAGAGUGUUGUACACCGUGUGAUGACGAUGAAGCAAGGAAGUCUGUCGAUAGCUACAUUUUACAAUCCAGCUGGGGAUGCCAUAAUAUCUCCAGCUCAAGAGAUGUUGUACCCAAGUGGUUACCGAUUCCAAGACUACCUUAAGCUUUAUUCAACCACUAAGUUUGGAGACAAAGGCUCUAGAUUUAAUACCAUGAAGAAAAUGGAGAAUGGGGAUUCCGUCUAGGAUGCAUCGCCUGAACGUAACGCUGCUUUUGUAUUUCACAUGAAACUCUAUUUCUAUUAAA